rnacentral:lncRNA from 1 species
CAUGAUCGUAUUGCCGACAUUCGUUCGCAUCCCAGCUGACGGUGUGGUGCGGUUGCUGCUGACCAAAGCCAUGCGCGUCGUACGCAGCCGCGUCAUGACCUCGCCGCGAUGGGGCAUCCUGCUGAAAUUGCUGGAAAGCAUCCAGGCCAAGGAGACUGUCGCGGGUCGGGAGUACUUCACCCGCGUGUGGACGUUGGCGGAGCGCAUGGCGCGGUUUGGGCGGCCUGAGAGGUUGUGUCACUGGCUGUCGCUUGAGAGCUGGCUGGGCAUGGUGGUAGAUGCGAUGUUGCGGAGCACUGAGGACCGCAGUGCGAGUGAGAUGUACAAAAGGAUGUUGGGCGCCGAGGCGGGCCGGCGGCUGGAUGCGUUGCUAGACCCGCUGGAGGCCACUGUCAAGACUGGCAGCAUGCACGUCUCAGAGGGGCUGGAGGAGCAACUGGCAGAUCUGUUCGAUUUGACGGUGGGAAUCUGGCACACUAACAAGGUAGGAGGGCAUUAGGGGAUGAGAAUGGGGGUUUGGGGGAAGGGGGGUUUGGGAAGGGAACAGGGUUCAUGGUCAGGGAUGUGUGUCUGUGUGUUACAGCUUGAGUUGCGUCACCCUUCAAAGGUGCCCUGUAACGAGAGCCGUAAGCUGUCCUUUCUAAGUUUUGAGCCGGACAGGGAAUGAAUGGAGGCGCGAGGAAUGGGGUUGCACCUAAGGGGGGGGCCUGGGCUGGGGCCAGGGGGAGGAGGAGGGGAGUUCCUGAUUCCACUCUUUCCAUCGCCUGCUGUGUCGUACUCUCUCUUUCACCCUCCCUUCCCUUCCCCUUCCCCUCCUGCCUGUCUACUAAGCACUUGUAUGAGUACGAGUACGGGCGCACACAUAUGCAAAUCCUUCCUCCUUUGACAUCAGAUGCCGUACACGAAAUACCCCAUCCCACCCAUCCCCUCCCAGGAGCUGGCGGAGGCGCCCACUAAGGACUGGCUGGUGUCGUACCUUCUUGACGCACACACGGGCAUCUACCAGGCUUGGUCGGAGGCGGAUCGAGUGUGGUCGGUUUACAGUUAUUUCUGUUGGAAGCAGCUGGACCAGCGCAGCGAGGCGGGGCUGCUGGAGGCUGUUCAGGACCUGGUUCGUGUGGCGGGGGGCAGCAGGCGCCUGUUGAUGGCUAUGGCCACCAAAUUGGGCCUGGCGUCGAAACUGCCGCCAGCUGAGGCGGACAAGAAGCUGGUGGCGGGGGCUAAAGCAGGCAAAUGGGCUGAGGUGGCGGCCGCGCUCAAGAAGGGCGCUUUCCCAGAUUACCCCGGGACGGUGAGUGCAGGGGGGAGUGAGAUGCGGAUUGAGGGUGAGGUGGAGGCGGAGGUGUGAGGAUGUGGUUUCUGCUUGUUACUGCUCAUCAUGCGGGUGACCAUCGCGAUGACCACGAUGGUAUAUCCUUUAUUUAUUCUCCUGUGUUGGGUGGCUGCUGCUGCUGCUGCUGCUGCUGCUGCUGCUGCUGCGGCUGCUGCUGCCGCUGCCCUAUUCUCGUAUGGGGUUGCAAGCAAGACUUAUGAAUCAAGCUCUUAGGAAGCUAACAGCUUCUAUAUCUAGAACAAAUUGCGUUGUGAUUUUUAUUAAUCAAAUCAGAAUGAAAGGUAUAUUUGGUUGUGUGUGUCGUCAUAUUUCAGGGCGGCAGUACCGCACUCUACAUUGCGGCAGAGAAGGGCAACCUGGACGCCGUCAAGAUGCUCAUCAAGUGUGGCGCGACUGUUGACAAACCCAACUUGGUCAGCCUAAGAAGGAGGGGAAGGGAGAGGAUGGCUCAGGGUUUAGAUAGAGAUGUGUGGGGGGGGGGAGGUGAAACUGCCUGCCCUGGAGGGAAUAUGCCGGGGGAUGAAAGGGAGGGGGAGCGUGCUGAGCUGACACACGUGUCGGUGCGUGCCGGCUCGCCUCAAUUGGUACUGUUAUCAUAACCUCGCAUACCUCCCACCAAUACAUACAUACGCACGUACACGCAUACCUUGUGCUGUUCCGCUGGAAUGUCGUUUGCGUUGUCAGCUUGGGCCUUAUCUGUCCGUAAACUGGCCUUCCCUGCAUGUGUUUGCCAGUGUGUCAUCAUGUCGACAUGCCUAUCUGGUUUCGUCCGCGGUGGUUGUGGUGGUUAUGGUGGUUGUGGUUGGUUGUGCAGGUUGGCGCCACGGCUCUCCACGCGGCCAGUGCCAAAGGCCACGCGGACGUCAUCGCCGCCCUGGUGGCGGCGUCGGCCCAGCUGGAAAUCACCAAACAGGUAGAGGAGUGGGGUAGGGUAGGGUGCGAUUUGGGUUUUCAUAUGUACGGCGUAAGAUGGCGUGCGGAAAAUAAUGGGGGGUUUGCCCGGCGGGGGAGGUGGGGAUGGGGUUGAGGCUGCUUACACGUAUAGUCACUGCCGUACACUGCUGCAUUAGUCUUCUCACCUAGCUUCAUUGUCAUACUGUUCACUUUUCUCCGCCCCUCCCCCCCNNNNNNNNNNNNNNNNNNNNNNNNNNNNNNNNNNNNNNNNNNNNNNNNNNNACCCCACUUCACCGCGCAGAUGUCUUCGGUCAUGCUGAUGCCGUACAGGCGCUCAUUGACUGUGGAGCCAACGAGACAGCUUUACGGCUAUGGAGAUCAUAUGGGUGGGAUGGUGAAGUCCCGCCUCGAUAUCGACCCUAACACCACAAGCCAAAAGACCUAUAUCAAUGAGUUCAGGAGAUUGGCCAAAAGGCUCGAAGAUAUGUGAAAUCAGCCGAUGGUGCCGGUGUCUGACUGGAGUGGCCCGAACACCAUGGUGAAGAAAAGUGUUGGUGUGAACACCAAAGGGACUGUGCCCCGGGCGUCCUCUGCGUGGCCUUCAUUUGCAUUAAGUCAAAGUAUUGCAAAAGGAACUCGAACCAUGAUCGGGUGCAAGUAAUAUGCGUAUCUCUUCCCCGAAAAUUUUGGAGGAAGCGGAACGCGUUUCUGCGUACUCACCUCGGUACACGGCGUUUUGCCCGUGGGCUGUAGUGCCGGCCGCACAGAGUCGGAGUCCGUAGCGCUACCGCCAGGGCCGCUUUCCACCGCACCGGUGUCCCAAAGCUUCCGGACCUCCUCUAAGGUGAUUUCCGGAUCCAUAGUCAAGGAAUCCAGGGCCGCCUGAAAAGCGGUGACCUGGAGACUCUCCUUGGACAAAAUGCCAGCCAAGGAAGACGCAGCCACUUGCUUAAUAAUCCUGCAAAUGGCCACAGACCGUGGAUUGGGAGGUGGUGGGCUGGUGGGCGUGGACAACUUGGAGAUUAACUCCUGAAGCUGCAGCUCCACGCACUGUGUCGAAUUUCGUAACGAUAGGAUGUCGUCACGAAUUUCGUCCCUUCCAGGGAACGCUCCAAGGCGCUGACGCGGUUAGGUACUGAUUCCCGCAAAGUCUCCACCAAAUGCGCUGGUAAGGUGCCAGGCGCUUUGGUUUUGGGGACUGCUGCGGUAACGUCAACCGCGUCAUUGUUCGUAGCGUCGAGGACAGUCGCGAUGUUAUCCGUUGGCGCCAUCGUGUCCUGAAGGUCAUUAUCAACAGGGACAGAGUAAAGGUAUUUACGAAGCGAAGCGAAGGAUUGUUUCCUUAAUUUGCGCUUGUUAACUUUCGCAACGCGAAGUGGGUCCGAAGCGGUUGUAGCAUCGGCAGGGAUUUGCGCCUUAGCCUUAGACUUCGGUCGCGGAAUAGGAACGUGCUUAGCAUCGCUCAAAGAAACAGCCUUAGUCUUAGCUAUAGGCUUAGGAACCAUUUCCAGAAAGUCGAGUCUAAGACUCAGACAAUNNNNNNNNNNNNNNNNNNNNNNNNNNNNNNNNNNNNNNNNNNNNNNNNNNNNNNNNNNNCCCCUCCCCCACGGGCGGUCGCACCCCUCUGCAUGUGGCUGCCGAGGCGGGCAGUGAAUCGGCGGUGAGGGCGCUGCUGCGAGCUGGGGCCGACAAAGAUGCCGAGGAUGAUGUGAGUGAGGGCUGCGGGGGAUGAGAGAGAAGGGGGGACCCGAGUGGAAGGAGUGUGUGUGUAUUGGGCACGGGCGAAGGUGCAGAUGGGUGAUGGGGUGGUGGGGUUUCUAAGUUUUGGUUGCAGAGGUUGGGUUGGGUGGAUCAGAUGUCGGUGGGCGGGCUUUUUGCCCACUUCGCCCCUUGGGGGCUUGGUAUCCAAUUUUAUAGGGGGAAACGGGGGGAGAAGGGGGGAGCGGGAGGAAGGGGGUUGGGAAAAGGGGAGAGAGAGGGGGGGAGGGGGCAAAGAGGACCGGGGGCAAGAGGGUAACUGGGAGAGUCAGCAGAGACCGCACACCUGCCCUAGGGAAGGAGCUGCCUGGACACGGCCAUCCGAAUCUACAUGCCAGUCUGGACUGCUCGUGCUGAUUCUUACCUCGACUCCCAACUAACAUUUCCAUCACCAACUUAUCCACAAGAUGCAGCUACUAAGUAUCUGUAUGUUUGUAUGUAUGCACCUAUGUAUGUAUGUCCACCUGACUUGUUGUUUAGGAGAGUAAGACGCCUCUGUACCUGGCCGUGCAAUACAACCGCACCGCCAACGUGGUGCGAGUACUGCUGGAGGCGGGGGUCGACAACGAGUGCAGGGACAUGGUACGACUGCUCGUACGAUGAACGGCGGGGAGGCCAGCUGGGGGCUAGGGGGAUGGAAAGGUCAAGGGGAGGGUGUGUGUGUGUGCAUGUGUCGUGGUGGCGCUGCAUGGAAAAUGGAUUAUGGCUAAAAUCAAUUUUCUUAGUAUCUUCAUUAAACUCAUAAAAUUAAAAAUCAGUAAUCCAGCAGAAUUUAAAACGUUCGUAAUCUAUCAGUUCAAGAUCAACUCAGGGGCGGUGGUGGUGGCGCUGCCAUUGUUGUUGUAGGCGGUGGUGGGGACGGUGUAGUUGGCACUGUUGUAGAUUGUCGUCGUCGUUGUUGUUGGCUGUUGUUGUUGUUGUGGGGGUGGGUUGACGUCAUUGCAGCAAGUUGCUAGCCCAGCCAGCCAAUCCAGGGAGGGCGUCCGCAAGGCCCCCUCCCCGGCGGCGCACUGACUCCACAUCCCCCUGUACUCCACAUCCCCCUGUAUGACCCCAUACUGGCGGGAGCUAUGUGUCGUUGUGUUCCCGAAGCGAUAUCACUCUCCAUGCAGGUUGUGAGGAGAUGCUGCAGACUGUGCUGUACACUGCUGUACCACACUGUACUGUACUGUAAUUGCACAGGUUGUUGCACUGUACGGUUCGUAUUCUGGCAGUCGUCACACAGCUAAACCCCCUCUCGUACCGGGCGCCCCCUCGGCCCCCAGAACGGCUGGACCUGCCUCCACGUCGCGGCAAGCAGGGGCAAGGAGGACAUCAUUCGCCAGCUGAUACAUGCGGGGCUGGAUGUAAAUGUGGUGAUGCGAGGCCAAGUGCGUGAUGACCGUGGAGGGAGGGGCGGGGAGGGACUCAUGGUUCUGGGCGAGGAAGGGGCAGCGAGGGGAAGGGGGAAAAGGGACUUGUUAGCAGUGGAAGUCAUUUCACUCCUGCCCCCCUCCCCCCUUUCCCCGGACACCAGGUCAUGGGGAAUCCACUGGGGUGGGGUAACCCAUAAUAUGCAGUACGGCACUACUGCCCUAGUGAGCACACUGUGGAGGGAAUGGGAGAGGUUGGGGACGUCCGGGAGAGGGGAGAGAGAGAGGAACAUGGUGAAGGGGAGGCAUGGGUUGCCGCACCGCAUGGUGUUUUGUGACCCAGCCCAAUGGAUGUCGUGCUCUGGCAGCUGGCACCCUUCCCUCGCCCACCUAAUCUUUCCCCCCUUUUACCCGGCGGCCCACAGGAGAACGAGAACUUAACACCCCUGCACAUCGCGGCGGAUUGGGGGCAUGUGGCAACCAUACGGUUGCUGGCCAAGGCGGGAGCCGACGUUAAUGUGCCAGGAUCGGUGAGUCCGCCACCGGGGUUUGGGGUUGGAGCAGAGAGGAGGCAAAAGAGGGGUAUUAAGGGGCUGCCUGGUCCAGCCCCACACCGUGUCGACGGUUGCAGAUUCUAUCAAAAGUCCUGCGGGGCUGGCAUCACUUUCCCGUUAGACGCCUAGUGGUGCAACUGUAUGUCAGUCUGUCAGACCCCCAGUGGGGCGGUGGGUUGGGCCCUUAGCAUCGGCAGCCCGCAGGUCUGCAGCCCUUGGCCCCAACCGGCAGUGCAAAGAUGGAUAGCAGCGGGGCUGUGAAGAGACCCUCCACGGAGAGAUGGGCGUUGAAGGGGCGGGCCUCGGGACCUCAGGGGGAUAUCUGUCUCUUCCUUUCUCUCUCUCGCGCACAUUUGCGUGGGCCUUGCAGGUAGAGGGACAUACAUACAUGGAGUACGGAUAACCGUCCGGAUACACCCCUGCAUCCGCCAUGAGAGGGGAAAGCGGGUCCUAGGGGGAGUUGGGGUGUGUGGAGGGGACCUUCCUCCACCGCUGACUCGUUCUGGAGCCCAUCCUCUGCUGCACCUGCCCGCCUGACCUUCCUUGCUUCGGCUGGACUCCCCUUCCCCCUUCCCCCUCUCUCCGCUCCCCCCCCCCCAGAACGGUACCCCACUUCACCGCGCAGAUGUCUUCGGUCAUGCUGAUGCCGUACAGGCGCUCAUUGACUGUGGAGCCAACGAGACAGCUUUACGGCUAUGGAGAUCAUAUGGGUGGGAUGGUGAAGUCCCGCCUCGAUAUCGACCCUAACACCACAAGCCAAAAGACCUAUAUCAAUGAGUUCAGGAGAUUGGCCAAAAGGCUCGAAGAUAUGUGAAAUCAGCCGAUGGUGCCGGUGUCUGACUGGAGUGGCCCGAACACCAUGGUGAAGAAAAGUGUUGGUGUGAACACCAAAGGGACUGUGCCCCGGGCGUCCUCUGCGUGGCCUUCAUUUGCAUUAAGUCAAAGUAUUGCAAAAGGAACUCGAACCAUGAUCGGGUGCAAGUAAUAUGCGUAUCUCUUCCCCGAAAAUUUUGGAGGAAGCGGAACGCGUUUCUGCGUACUCACCUCGGUACACGGCGUUUUGCCCGUGGGCUGUAGUGCCGGCCGCACAGAGUCGGAGUCCGUAGCGCUACCGCCAGGGCCGCUUUCCACCGCACCGGUGUCCCAAAGCUUCCGGACCUCCUCUAAGGUGAUUUCCGGAUCCAUAGUCAAGGAAUCCAGGGCCGCCUGAAAAGCGGUGACCUGGAGACUCUCCUUGGACAAAAUGCCAGCCAAGGAAGACGCAGCCACUUGCUUAAUAAUCCUGCAAAUGGCCACAGACCGUGGAUUGGGAGGUGGUGGGCUGGUGGGCGUGGACAACUUGGAGAUUAACUCCUGAAGCUGCAGCUCCACGCACUGUGUCGAAUUUCGUAACGAUAGGAUGUCGUCACGAAUUUCGUCCCUUCCAGGGAACGCUCCAAGGCGCUGACGCGGUUAGGUACUGAUUCCCGCAAAGUCUCCACCAAAUGCGCUGGUAAGGUGCCAGGCGCUUUGGUUUUGGGGACUGCUGCGGUAACGUCAACCGCGUCAUUGUUCGUAGCGUCGAGGACAGUCGCGAUGUUAUCCGUUGGCGCCAUCGUGUCCUGAAGGUCAUUAUCAACAGGGACAGAGUAAAGGUAUUUACGAAGCGAAGCGAAGGAUUGUUUCCUUAAUUUGCGCUUGUUAACUUUCGCAACGCGAAGUGGGUCCGAAGCGGUUGUAGCAUCGGCAGGGAUUUGCGCCUUAGCCUUAGACUUCGGUCGCGGAAUAGGAACGUGCUUAGCAUCGCUCAAAGAAACAGCCUUAGUCUUAGCUAUAGGCUUAGGAACCAUUUCCAGAAAGUCGAGUCUAAGACUCAGACAAUGGGAGAGUAACUGCUGCGGCGCAAUGUGAGGCGAGGACCGAACAAAUGAUCGUCGAUACCAAAAUGUAACAGCCGUCUCUUACCUUAGCUGUUUUAUUAGCGGAAGAGGGGGGUCUCGUCCACGAUUGACGACCCAGCGUUAGGCGCGAAAAGAGACAAGGGAAGUCGGGAUUCGAGGACAUACGUUGAUAACGGUGACAGCAAGGUCUUGAUCCCUGAACACUAGUAUAAUGAUACAGAAGUGUCUGGCCGAAGCACUUCACCUGGGUGGCUUAAAUGCGGCCCACCUGCCGCCAUCUCCAUUCCUGGAGUCUUGGUGUUUUACGCUAGGUUGUGAUAGCGUAACAGAAAGUGAGUUCGUACAGUUAACGAGUAUGGUUCGUAACUACGGGACCGUACCGUUACUGUGAUUAAGCUUUAAUAGCUUAAAGAUAUUCUAAGGUAAAUGUAGGUUGCUACAUGGUGUAAGUGGCUGCUGUGGAAGCGGUGGAGGUGGAAGCGGUGGCGACGGUAGCAGUGGUGGCAGAAAAAGUGGUGGUGGAACAAGUGGCAGCGAUAUCGGCAGCGGCAAUGGGGCCUUAGGAGGCGAGCUACCGCAGCUGCAGCCGCAUCUGCAUGCUAUGUUCAGCCCUAACAGCAGCAGUGGUGGGGGAUGGGAAGCGGUGGAGCAGGUGGAAGAGGCGGCAUUGGUGGGACUUUAGGGGGUGAGCAGGUGCAAGUGCCAUGCAUGCUAGUGCAUGCAACGGUGGUGAUGGGGCCUCAGGAGCCCAGACGGUCCAGUUGUCGCUCAAAUACCCGAGGGGGAAGCAGCGGCAGAGGAUAAUUGGGCAAUGGCGGGAAACGGGACGCACCUGAUCAGGGACGAGGGAGGGUGAAUAAGGGUGGCAGGCUUGCAGCAAUCCUGUAGUCACUAAAAUGAACGGAAGACGCAGUGUUGGCUUCACUGCACUGUGGCAACGAGAUUGGUAUGACACAGGUUCCAACGUUGGGAAACUGACACCAUGUCAGUGGCGGCAGAAUGUUGAGCCCAUGGCGAAAAGUCGUUGCAUUGGGAUUCUAAUGUCAUGAAGGUCGUUGUGUCAAAUUUUCAGGGCGAUUGGAGGGGGUUGACUUUUAAGGUACCGGGCUUAGCAGCUGACCGCUGAAAAGGUCUCUCGAGUUGCUGGUGGUCGCGCUCUGUGCGUAUUUAUAGCGCCGUACUGUGUUCCGGCUGCUACAGCAUGGCAUUUGGGCCAGGUUCGAGUGCAGCCAAACGGGGAGGAUCGAAAAGUUGAGGUUGUCCGUUCCAAGCCAAAAUUUGUGUUUGUAACCUUUGUUGCUGAUCGAAAAGGCCUGUAUAACAUUUUCAGGACGCGGGCUGCUUGGCAGAAAUCCAUGUAGAGACAUGUCGCCAUGUCAGGUAUGCCAUGGCCAAGGUCGACCAUUGACACUCAACUCUGACACUAGUCAAGUUUGACAUUGUAAACGAAAUGACGCCCAUCACAGCUCACGGCAUCAGUUCAGGGUGCGGCUUACAAGUAUGUCAGCACCGGUAUGACUGCUGUACAUCCUGGAAGGUCCUCUCCAUGGAUGCCAGCUUCCCUGCUCGAGAGGAAAGAUGGGUAGGCCUGUACCAGAGUCCUCGUGGCCCUAAAUGUUAUUACACCUGGUAGGAAGCAAGCACUGUGACCCAAUGGCUGCCUCGUUGAACCCUGACCCAUUGCUGUUGUAACACCUGCAGCAUGCACCUGCCAGAUUUAUUGCUCAAUGCCCGGCCUCCAGCACAAUGGCUUUGCAUGUGUCCUGCCAGCAUUAGAGACCUUGAAAUGGUGAACGAUGCUUCCCGAGAUACCAAGAUACUGUAGGUUGCUAACAUGUACAUUUACAAAAACAUCCUAAGAGGACAACGAAUAAGACCAGUAGGCCCAUGUCGAUAGUCCAGGGCAACGGAGGGGGGUACCCUGGGGCCGUGUUACCCCUACCACUGUAUAGGACCUUACAAGGGGGUUACCCAUGGGCUACCGGGGGUUGAAGGUGGGUUAUCCAUGGUUUACCGACCUAAUCAGUGCAUGUAAGAGCCUGGCCCAGGACUUACGAUAUUUCCGAGUAAGGACUCCAUUUCUUCUUAUCAUUCCAUUGUCGAGGCGAAUAUCGUACACACAGUACAUACAACUAUCUAAGUCAUCUUUAGACUAUAGUCAUACUAAGCAGUACAUGGCUACGGCUAUGACUGUAUCGAUUCGUACACAUACUCGAUUCCGUACACAAUCUUGCACACGUCUGCCCGUUCACAGCCAGACCUGUAUCGUAACUCUUCACUGGAAGGUGCGACUCUCUUAUAUAUACUAUCGUACGGCACUUUAUCCCGAGCGCCUCUGACGGACUGCAAGCGACUAUAAAUCCCCAAGGGAAACCCCCGGUGUUUAUCAAGAUCUUCACAAGUGGUCUAGUCGCUAAAUCCGUCUAAGUAAUCAGGUACGCUCUCACAUUGGUGCGAAUUACUAUGUCAGCCGAAGGCCGACAGUCUUCGGACAAUCUAGAAAAUAAUGUGCCGGAUCAGCAGACAGUUACGCAUCAGGACGCUAACACAUCUGCUGGUGGGUCUGCUGCGGCGGACCUGAUGCCUGUGGAUGCCGCCGCUGAUCAGUUAGAAGUAAGCCUUCUUCGCCGACUUGCCGCUAUGUCUCCUCAAUCGGCACUAGCUUUGUUUCGGCGAGUUGGUACCUCUUUGGCAUCUUACAUUUCUGAAAGUAUUGGCGACCAACCUACGGGUGGCGCUCUCAAUCGUGACCAACCUACGGGUGAACAAUUAACUCCAAAUAUUAGUUUAUCAUUUCAACAGCUUACAGGCGUUGAGGAGACUCAGCCUACGGGCGGGCUUCGUCUUUAUUCAGAAUCAUCGGAACCGGCGGACCAAUCCUUGCCCGAAGCUGACGCGGGCGUAGCACUUCAGGUGUUAAAUGACUCCGCACCGGGCACUAGCAAUGGCCAAAGCGAACAACGGCAAGGCCUUCAUGGGAUCGCGUCUCGAUUACGUGAAUUAAUUCAAUCGUUACCUGGUCGCGUUACUUCCCCUCCAACGCUAUUGGUGUGAACACAAUCAUUACCUUCACCACCCUUGUUGUCGCAUCCGGAUAAUGUGACGUCGGAACAACAGGUAGCCUGCGAUGUUGCGCAGCAACCACAAACCGAUUCUUUUACGCACGCGCAGCCAACUGCGACCAUACCAAGCCGAUUAUUUAUGACUCCUAUACCAAACAAUGAUGCCAUAUUGCAGGCGUGACGCGGCUUGGGUCCGACCACGGACUUAAGACCAACAGGAAUGUAGCCGGUGACUGGUAUGGGCUUGCAACCAGCAAACGCAGCUCAUCAGGCGGUGCCCGGGUUUACUUUCGGGCAGCCGUUCAUGCAGCCACCGCAGCAACAACAGCAGCCACCUGAUUUUUAUCAGGCAUUUUCCUUUUCCGGAUUGCCCGGAGUCGACGCCAGCGCGUUGUUGUUGUUUUCGUGGUCGUAUCAACUCUCAAGGCCACCUCAUGGAAAAGGUUAACAAUAAUAUUAACCAUAUCGGUGCUAUGAUGCAUACCCAGAAUCAGGUUAUGCAUGGCCAGGGGCAAACCCUUUCACGCGUAGUCGACCAAGUAAAUCAAAUUCACCAGGUGGGUACUCCAGGGCCAACCUUACUAACGCAAAAUUCACCAGCUCCAUUUGCUCGUCACUUGCCAUGACCACCCUACCUAACGGGAGACCCUAAGCAAGAUAAUAAAUCUAUUUCGGAUAAACUAGUGUGGUAUAACUCCGUGGUAGACUUCAUGCAACUCACGGGCAUGAACCACAUUAGUAACUUCAAAUUUUGCCUGCAGUUGUCUUUGUCUACUGCAGAAGCCUUAGCUAAGCCCGGUUGCAUGUGAACGAAGAACCAGGAAAUUUUGCCGGACUCGGCCAUAUCUGGCGCAUCAAGGAAGAUUAACAAACACUUCUGCACAUAUUCCGAAACGGACAUGUCCGGUCUUUGUGUCACCUCCCCACGCUUCUAAGAGUUCAUGUGUGCGCGAGGGAUCACCGUACACCUUCUUGAAUUCCGUAACCAAACUCGACCCACCUAGGGAAAUACCCUUCUGGGAAUAGUAAUGCUGCAGGCUAUCGAACCAUUUGCUGGCGGGGCCUUGCAGGAAAAAAUUGAAGUUACUGAAGUCUACCACGGAGUUAUACCAUAGAUAGAGUGUCAUAAGAUAGUAGAUAUUCCUGCAUAAGAGAAUCGCACCUUCCAGCGAAGAGUUACUGUUGUAGAACUAAGUUUGUGGCGGUCAGCUCUCUGGACGAACUGGUUUCCGUAUCAUGCCGUGCAGAUUGCACGGGCAUCUCUGGGCUCCUUGCCCUAUAUUAGCUUCCGCUUAUCUGUCUAACUUGUAACACAACGACGUGCUAAGGUUGUAUGCAAUACGUGCUAAGCAACGGCAUAGUUACCAUUUACAACAGGUUAUGAGCCCCGACAGACGAUCGGGAUGGAGACGAAGGUAGAAUACCGGGAGGUAUUAAGCCUAAAGAAUAGGAAGACCUGGAUGAUAAGGUCUAGAGCCGCCAUUAUCAAGGCGAAGUUAGGCUCAGCUUUAGAAAACCCGCGAACCGCCGAAAAUUGCACGAUCAGGCGAUCAUGAGCAGGCGAGGGCCAUUCUGGUGGAACUUCUCCACAACGACGACCUAGACUUAUAUCAGAAGCACAGUGACCUAAGAGAGUUAUAUGAGGCGCUGGACAACCGCUACAAGGGGAUGGUAGCGAUACUGGUUCCGCAGCUACACAUUCAGCUAAUCGUCUGAAGAUGGACCCGCGUGAAGGAACAAGAGCUUACUGUCAACGAAUUAAAGACAUCGUUGAUGAGCUGGAGCAGUGCGAUGAGAAGAUUACGGAUUACAACGUCGUCAGCACUGCGAUUCAAGGCCUGCCUACCGUCUACGAUAUGUAUACGGCGUCUUGGUUUAGUUCACCUGACUCGAUGCCGAAGAAUCUUGUGGACGUUCGAGAUCGGCUAAUGACCAUCGAGCAGCAGAUCACACAGUCAAGCCGACCUACGCCAGGAGUGCCGGCACUUGCAGCCGAUUAUGGUGGCAGAUGUCGGCAACCAAGACGGGAAGUGGGCGGCAAUGUCGCUAUUAAUAGCGGCGAGUUCCGAGGCAGAUGCUUCAAAUGCGGCAACGUCGGGCACAAGGCAAGCGAGUGCACCGAUAAAGGAAAGCAGGAGAGAAAAUUCUGCGUCUAUUGCAAGAAGCCCGGCCACAAUGUUGACGAGUGCCGGAAGGCGGCUAGGGCACGGGCAGCCCGCCGCGAUGGCGACGACGACGACAACUUUGGACCACCGGUGAUACAACAUGCCUUUGUGGCAGUACCGGGAUCAGUCGACACGCCUAAGGAGAAGGACGCGCAGAUGAGGGCAAAUACGGGGGCGGCUGCUGAGCCGCUUACAGGCAAGCUUAAGCCUGAGGCCCUAUACGCGGAAGCCGAGGAGCCGCCAUUGGCGGAGGAGCGGCGAGCCCGGGAGAAGGAUGUCGAGUGGAUUCUAGACUCUGGAGCGUACUACAACAUCACUCCGGAUGCCAGUUCGUUAUACAACUACAAGGAGCUGGCGGAUCCAAUACCGAUCAAGGUGGGCGGUGAACACGUAAUGUACGCCGUGGGCUACGGAGAUGUGAUUCUAGAACUGGGCAAGGUUUGGGACACGAAAAGGAUGUACUACGAAAAACGAACGAUUAAGUUCAAGGGCGUAUUCUACGUUCCAGGCUUUGGAUACCGGUUACUAUCUCUUCGGCAGCUUACGGCGCGUGGAGCUACGUUUACUGGGCGCACUACCUACAUGACGGUGCAAAAUGAUCAGGAGGGAUGGUACUUUAGCACAGAUUGCAAAGAUUCAAUUUACAAAUUGAGUGCGUGCGAGUGGAGUCCACGCGUACCAGUAGCCCUAGCUACAACACCGUCUGAUCUUCACGCGAAGCUGUGGCAUGCACGUUCUGGCCACCUGAGCUACGGCAAUAUGGUGCGCUUGAAGAAUGAGAAAAUGGUGCGGGGGUUAAACGUGUCAGCUGAAAAGUUGCGAGAAGCCGGUAGUGCUUCGAUUUGCGAAGAGUGCGAAAUGGGGCGGCACCCACGUAAGCCGUUCCCAGAGUCUGAAUCACGCGCGAAGGAGUGCUUAGAUUUAGUCCACAUGGACCUGUGCGGUCCGCUGUCGGUGGAGUCCAUGGGCGGGAACUAUUACAUAGCGACCUUCCUGGACGACUACUCUGGACUUUCCCAAAUCGCUCUUCUGAAAAAUAAGGGUGAAGCGUCUAAGACUGUCCAGACGCAGCUCCAGCUGCUCGAGAGCAAGUGUGGAUGAAAAGUGAAGGCGGUGAGGACGGAUCGUGGUCGUGAGUUUCUAAAUGCCGAAUUGUCUGAUUAUUAUGGGCAGAAGGGCAUUCAGAACCAGACCACUGCCCCGUAUACCCCGCAGCAGAAUGGACGGGCAGAACGGUUGAAUCGGACGUUGUUGGAAAAGGUGCGGUCGAUGUUAUAUGAGAGCAAAUUGCCCAUGAAUAUGUGGUCAUACGCCGUGCUUACAGCGAACUACUUACGAAAUCGUUCACCGUACCGGGACUUGAAGGGCACCCCCUACGAGCGCUUUUAUGGAGAAGCGCCAGAUGUGUCGAAUCUGCGAGUGUUUGGCUGUGUGGCGUAUGUGCGCGUACCUGACUCCCAACAGUCAAAACUAGAGCCGCGGUCAGUAAAAGGAGUGUUCGGGGGCUACGAGCCUGACUCCAAGGCAUAUCGUGUUGUGUUGCCCGAGGGCGGCCAUAUUGUGAGCCGCGACGUCAAGUUUCAGGAGCAUGUAUUCGGUUUGAAGGAACAAGAGUCAGACCGGUACGUGCUGGUUAACCUAGGUGAAGAUGAGGUGGAGGAGUUACCCCCUUUGAUUAACGAAGAAGGAGAAGACGAGGUGGAGGAUUCUAGCGAUCUCGAGAGUGAAGGGGACCUGGUAGAGGAUUUAGAAGAAGGACUAGAAGAGGAGGUACAAGUCAACCAGGAAGUAAUUCCGGAUGGGGGAGUGCCUCCUGAAGUCAAUCCUCCCCAACCGGGCCUCGAGGAGCCAAGUGGUCAAGGACAACAGCUACGUUGCUCAGAACGGUCUAACAAGGGAAAACCGUAAGAACGGUUGAAUAUGGUGGCAGUUCCGGAGGAGCCAAGGACCUACGAGGAAGCUAAACGUUCUCCAGCCUGGCCGAUGUGGAAGCAGGCGAUGGACGAGGAAAUGGCUUCUAUGCAGUCGCAUGCUGUGUGGGAGUUGGACAUGCCGCCUAAGGGAGUACGUCCGUUACCGGUCAAGUGGGUUUAUACCUUGAAGCGAGACGAAAAGGGUGAUAUUGUUCGCUAUAAGGCGCGACUGGUCGCUAAGGGGUUCGUGCAGGUGGAAGGGAGGGAUUAUGAGGACGUGUUUGCCCCAGUAAGCAAGCAUACCACCCUGCGUGCCCUGCUGUCUGUUGUGGCAGUGCGUGACCUAGAGCUACACCAGUUGGACGUUAAGACGGCAUUCCUUAACGGCACGCUGGAUGAGGUAGUUUUUGUACAGCAACCCCCUGGCUACGAACAGGGAAGCCCCUUUUUGGCGUGCAAGCUAGGUAAGGCCCUAUACGGGCUUAAGCAGGCUCCGCGAGCGUGGUAUGCUCGCUUGAAAAAGGAGCUAGUUGAUAUGGGUUUCUUAAUUUCUCAAGCUGAUCCUGGUCUGUUUUUCAAGGAUGUCCAGGGAGAGCGUGUAUACGUGUUAGUUUAUGUGGACGACUUAUUACUUGCGGCCAAGGAUCUAGCAGUUAUUCAAAGAUUAAAAUCAAAAUUAAAUAAGUUGUUUGAUAUCCGAGAUUUAGGAGAGGCUCGGGUAUUUUUGGGCUUCGAGAUAGAGCGUGACCGUGCGCAGCAUAGCCUGAAAUUGCCACAGCGUCGUUUUGCUGUGGACUUAAUAAAGAAGUACGGCAUGGCUGACGCAAAUCCGCGGCUGGUGCCAAUGUCCAAGGGCACUUUUUUGCGUGCUGAGGGGGAGCCGUUGGACGUGGGGGAGUUUCGUUAUGGAGAGCUGGUAGGCAGCCUGUUGUACCUUAUGGUGGGCACGAGGCCUGAUUUAGCUUAUUCCGUCGGAGCUCUGUCCCGUUAUAUGUCCAAACCAACGGUACAGCAUUGGGAAGCUGCGAAGGGCGUGUUGCGAUAUGUCGCAGGUACAACCGCCAAGUGUAUUUUGUUUUCAGCGAAAUCCGCAGAGCCUCUGCAUGGCUACUGUGAUUCGGAUUACGCUAGUUGUGUCGACACGAGACGUUCUACCACCGGUUACGUGUUUCUAAAUGCGGGUGGUGCGUUAAGCUGGUCUAGCCGUCUUCAGCCAACGGUGGCUACGUCAACCGCCGAAGCUGAGUAUAUGUCGUGCGGUGCUGCUACGAAGGAGGCCCUGUGGUUUCGUGUUUUAAGUAGUGAUUUGAAGUUGGGCCUCACCAAGGUUAGCAUCUUGUGUGACAACCAAGCAGCAAUCAAGAUGGUCGGUAACCCGAUCGUUUCCGCUCGGUCAAAGCACAUAGAUGUGCUGCACCACUUUGUGCGUGAGCGUGCUGCACGAGGUAAAGUUGUAUUCAGCUACGUUAAGUCGGUAGAUAUGGUGGCCGACUGCCUGACGAAGGCGUUGCCUUUGCCUUCGUUUGAGAAGUGCGCACGUGCAAUGGGACUGCGCUAGAGUGGUGCUUGUUCUUCGUUUUACAGAUGGAGGUCUGCCCGCGGGGGAGUGUUGUGGAUUGGACGCUAUUCCGGUCAGACCUCUCUCCACUAUAAUCUUUGGAAUUAAUUGUCGUACUUACGGAACUGGACUUUGGUUCCUUUAAGUGGCGGCGGGAAGACACAAUCUUUAGUUGCUUGUAACAUAACGUGCAGAUCACGCUCCGAGCCGGUAAGGCACGGAGUAACUCGAGGAUUUACAACAUGAAUGCACAACAAGAAAACGAAGCUGCCUAUCACCAGACUUUUGGCCAUACUUGCCGUCUCCAAAACUUGAUUUCGGCAGCCGCCUGCCGAAAACAGCUCGAGGUGGCCACGUCGACAGCAGGAGCACCGUCGCAAGAACGACCGUGAAGGCCCUUCCCUUUACCAGGACCACGUUUCUGCCGCGCCAUCCGCCUGAGGUCGCCAUACUUCUUUUUACCUUUCAACUAUCUCCUCGGUUUUGUUCUAGCUCUUUGAAAAUCAGCGCAUUGUCUACACUUUUAAUCGCUGACAAGUGGACAAGCCUUAUACUCUGCAAUUUACUUAUAAACACUUUUUUGGUAUGCGCACAAUGCGCUUAAGUCCGAUGUUGUUGAAGCGCAUCGUCACGCACUUCCAGAUCAAGCGAUUACCCCUUCCUGCGUCAUUACUUGGGACUCACAUCGCUGGCUUCGCCGCCGCUGUGCGCUGUGGCAGCUCCUGCUGCUGGCACCCCCACUAUCAACUUUAGUUCCAUGCACAAAGCAGACCACCUCGGACGCGACCAGGGCCGCCCUUCACAGCAGCCAGCCUGACAGCUGGAGCGGAAGCGGGCGCUAUAGGGAGGAACAACACCCCCCCUCCUCCUCCGCCAGCAACACCACCCGCGACCCGUGGCUCAGUGUUGGGCCCUGUAGAUGCUGGCGGAGCGCGUAUGUAUCGCAUGGGUGAGCUGCAACGCAUGUUUCUGAAGCACCUCUCUGGGUUGGGGAGGAUACCGGAUAAUCGUGUGUUGUUUUGGGGGUUUUGUAAAUGGCCCCCACCCCUUCGAUGGGCCUCACUGUUUACCGAUCUUUGAACAGGGUUAUCCUGGCUAAAGGGACUGUAUUUCCACAAUGUUUUGUGUGAGGAGAUACAUUUUAAGGGGUCUCAAGUCCUUAAGGCUCACUUCCCAGAGCUGCACCCGGACCUGGAUGAAGAGAGGAAGGUCAAUUCAUUUCGUCGAACCCGACACAUGUUUUAGAUGAAUGAGCGAUUUGAUGAUGACUGGUAGAACCCACGUCUCCGUACUACACCAGGGAUUAUGUACCGGGCAACCAUAAAUCAGGGAUUAAGAUGCGGCCGGGAUGGGAGAGCCUGCGUUGUGAGGGCGGGAAGGGAAACCCCUUGAGGAUGGAUGGAUGUGGCGGGAAAGGCCGUGAUGCAUUGCCUGUGUUGGUGACUGGUUGUGUACCCAUCGUACGAAAUGGGGGCCCCGGUCCGCCCCAUGGGGGCUUCAGUGGAUCUAAUUCCCGCAUUGAUCGAGGUAUGUGGUUCUCGUUUGCUUAUGCCUUGAUGGUGUGACAGAACAUGUUGACAGGGGGAUAUGCCACACAAUCGCUUUGCAUAGGAUUUUCACAACGUGCAUGUCAGUACAACGUGGAUUUGGUUCUCUAGCAUUUGGAUGCGCGUCUUUUGAUCCCGUCACGCACAUGAACAUGUCCGAGGAAGAGCGGUGCAGCUGCGGCCGUAAGGAGUUCGUGAAGUUGCUAGUGCACUUUUGCCACUCGAUAAGGCCUCACCGCCUGCUUGUCUUUGACGGCAACGAACCUGACGGUUUGCACAGUUAUCACGUUUAAGAUGGCUUUGCAACUGGAGCUGGGCCGCACCACUCGGGAAUGAGCCUGCGCUGGAAUGCGCCAGUGGGUUUACACGCGUGAUCUAUCUGUCGGUGUAAGUCGCUCCAAUGCAUCCUACCCACCCAAGCGGCGUGUGUUGAGCGUGUGAGGCUUCUUUUGUGCACCGCAUUAGCAAAAAAAGGUGGCGUAACCGGCUUUCUGUCCCGUCCAUUGAUUCCCUUAUGCGGGUUAGUUUGCUUGGUCUCACCGUGGACAUCAUCUGCAAGCCCCUAAUGAUUAAGGCCGCUGAGGAGUACGUCGCAAAGGACCCUGAUGGGCUCCUACACCGUAUUGCCAAGUGAGGUGGCGAGUGAUGAGGUGUACGCGUCCGAGGAGACGGACGAGGAGGAGGUGGAGGAGGUGGCAGAGGUAUUCCGCGGGCGGGUAUUCCAUUAAUCAGUCAGCUGCCCGUCGAAGCCACUUGAUUAAUCAAUCUUUUAUGAGUCACUAAAAAAAUAACAAUAGCCCACCUAUAAUUACUUAGUCUUCGUUCAUCCCCGAAGGGGAACCCCUCGAUAAGUUCAUGUGCCUUUCAAUGGGGCUGAUUAUUUCGCAGGUUCGGGUGCGGGGCUCCGCUUCUUGUCCCAGUUCAGCGUCCAACUGCCCUCUUGGGCUUUGGGACAAAACCCUCGAUAGGCUACCCCGACCCUGCCCACAAGGCGGUCCAUCCCCCUGCCGUAACCCGCGCUUGAAUCGUUUUCAGACCCGGUUGCUCUCUGCAGUGGAAAAUUCGGUGUGUGGUCCUUUGAGAAGGGGUAGUGGGGUGGAGGCGGUGGGUGGAGACCGCGCUACACGCGCCUGUCGCUGAGGAGCACGACGGCCGACGACGCGAGGACCCUGAUACCGACCACGAAAACACCUACGCGACGAGAGAGAUGCGCCAGAUGACAAGUACGCCAUUGACUCUGCGAACGCCGACGUCGGUGACGAUUGGAUGGUAGAGGUAGAUGAGGUGCAGCCGGCGGAUGCGGGCAGUCUGAGGUGACGGCUGGGGCUCGGCGUUGAACGUGGGCGGCGGGGAUGCGGGGUGUUGAGGGAUGGCGGCGACUACGAUAAGUAGCAGAAAUGGGGACGGAAAGAUGCUUUGGCGGUAGCACCAUCGGCAUGUCCGGAUAUCCAACGCGCGUAUGAUUUUGUACCCAUAAAACCAGAGGUUGACGUUGGCCACAGCGGGCAUACGAGCUUUCGGAGCUAAGCGAAGGAGCGGCGGGAGGUGCGGAAACGGUGACGCGGAUGACCGCUUUCCGUGCAUGAGCUGAACUGCACGCUUCAUCGACUCAACCCAAGGGCUCAAGUAAGGUCGUUACCAGGCUGGCGGAAUUGGAGAUGAAGAGCCCACCAGGUGAUCUCGACACUGACACAGCCUGCCGCUGCUGAUGCUGAUGCUGGUGCUGUGUGAAAUAAUGAAGUCCAAGUGUUCCUGCCAACGGUACAUGGCUGGAGGUGCGGAGGUGCCAGGCAUGGAGUGGAGAGGGACCGCCGCGGCGGCAGUGGCUUCCAUCGCAGAGGUGAUCAGGUAUCGGCCCAGCCUGCCCAGCGAGGGUCCAGGGGGCUUUUCGGCUUUUUUUCCCGCCACUUCCCUAGGGCAUCGCUGGCUCCUUGAAAACGAAGUGACGGAAUGGCCUAGUACAGCCGUUCCGAGAGCUCGAAAUUUGCUUGCGUUGCAAGGAAGCUGUUUGCUGCUGCCGCUGUGCCCGAGAUCCGAGAACGCUCUGUGGAGUUUGACUCUGUGAAGGACCCUCAGCGCCAUGGGUGUGGACAGGAACCGGCGCUUUGUGUACGGGGCAACGCUGCGGCCCAGGCAGCCACCCAACAGAUUGCAAGAGCGCUGCAUGUGUACGGGGUCGCGAAUCAGUUACCGAUCCAUUUAGGCCAUUUAAAGGUCCCCGCCGCCGUUGGAAAACACUCUCCCUGGCGUGCCCGAAAUCGGUCCUCGUGCAUAUCCAAACAAUACGAAAAGCUCUUGUGAUGCAUGAGUUACAAUCCCGGUCUUAUGUUUAUAUAAUCUUUGUAAGGUUGCACGCCCAACUGGCAAGUUCUGGGGUGCAGGGUUGCUGGUCAGCUGAGGAGCGCGGCCUGCACAUUGCAUAGUUGGGUUUUGGGCCGGGCUGCACGCACUGGAGACAUGGCCGCCAUGCCUGGCGCGGGUCCAGAUCCGAUGCGAUGACGUGAAGGCGGAAGAUCGUGCGUUGGGCGGGGCUUGGGACGGGCCCUUUCCGGCUGCUUGCGGUUCUUGAGAAGUGUAAGUGGCACUGCCUCUGGCUCUGGGGCCCCGAGGCCGAUUUAGCCAAGUACGGUUUCGUCAGGAUUGACUACCGUCCACGCAAAACCCCCGCGGUGGUAGGUGAUGCAGCAGCAUGACGGUGUUGCAGCCCCGGCCGCGGGAUCUGCAUUGCGAGGGGUCCUUCGGGAUGGUCCGCCGCCGCUGUCUCGGGAUGGGUUCCUACCCGGGUUCCUACCCGAGUAGCUGGCACCAGGGGGGCACGUGUGUGUUGUGAGCAGCCGGGGUCAAGUCGGACGUUCAGAGGACGGAUCUUGGACGGAUCUGGUUGGCUGGGCGGCGGCUUUGGUGGGGGAUCGCGGUAUCGAGCUGCUGGUUCGGCAUCGACUCAUGAAUCCUCUCGCUCAGGGGCUUGCGUGGGUUUUGCGUUGGAGUGAUGGAGGAUGUGAGGUGGAGGAAGACGCCCUGCCGUGACAGGCGGGUGGAGACAAAAAUCCGGGGUCUGUACGUUUGCUCGUGGUGCAUUCGAUGGGCUGUUUGGCCCCAUCGACAAUAGCGGGCACUCUGAGCGCGUUCGCAGUCUAGCUGCGCUUUAAGAGGAUUGUCCCGGAGCCAUUCCUUGAGCCGCGGUCAGGCGGAUCUUGGGUCAGGCAUGAGCCACUCCCAUAAGAAGCCAGCAUAACCAGCUCAUAAAGUCACCUUGCCAAAGUUAUCCACCCACCAUCUAAUCUUCAAAAUCACCUACUUGGCUUCAGCGUUGUCAGGUGACGCCCAGGCCCUCUCUGUAUGUCCCAUUCCCCACACAACCCGAGGGCAGCACAUCCAGCCAACUGACACCAUGAGAGAGGGCACCACAUCAUCUGACAAGGAGAGCGCCAAGCUGGUGCCACAGAAAAGGGUCAGUUGAAUGGCAAAUCGUGUUAUGCAUCGCGGGGCACAGGGUGCGGGCUGAGCUUGCGUGAAAAAGGACAUGAUGCUGGACGGGCAAGACCUUGCCCCCUGGAAGAUUGCCACCCGUACUGACCCAAUUCCCCUGUGGCGCUUCAACACCCCGAACAUGCGGCCCAGAUGCCAGUUUGCCAUCCCCUCAAAUGUACAACGCAGCUCGGUAAUGUCUUCGUGGUACUCGAACCCACAGACGCCCCCUCUCCAGGGCGGACAGGGUAGACCCCGUGUUAUCACACCCGAACUCGAAUCAGGUGACUUUCGCACAAUGCUGGUAGACUAGCGGCUGCAGGGACCUUCGCACUGACAUCAGCAGCUUUCGGGCGAUACUACCCACACACAAGGACAACGCCCUGCCCACAGACUCCCCUUUCACGCCCUGGCCACAUGGGCCUUUGCAUCACGUCCAUCACGCACCAAGGGCUCUCCCUUCUUACAACAAAAAAACCUUCUAACAAAAUGCACCAAGGGCUCAAAGUGUCGUCAAAGUGUUUCCCUGUCAGUUGUUUGGGAGCAUAAUUGACAUCUACUAAUACGGUGUACCCUCGAAUCAGAAGUGUCACAAUAUUCUCCCCAGACAACUGACAUGGAAACACUGUCGCCCUCGCGAGGGUCGCCUUUUGAGUCGCACUUAACGGUAUCGGGCGCACACACAGGUAGGGCCGCGCAAAGAGUGAGCGAAUGGAUGUAGGAUAGCUGAAAGCACACAUGGAAUGGAAAGCCUGCAGCAACAAGCCUCUUUCUUAUGACGUGCUGCGCUUCUUUCGCAUGCUUCGCCACCUUCGUCAUCAGCCGUUGUGUCAGCCACGAUGUGCCAAUCACCAAUUUCCUUUAGCAUCGAGAGAAUAUUUGUACAACAGCUGUUUCCUGAACCGCAUGGCUUGGCUGACAGCCGUCGGCGCAACGUGGAUUUGCAUGCGCGCCGAUUUCGCCAAGGUCAAAACUGCCGUACGAGCAGGCAGCGCGCGGGACCCGGAUAACUACAUAAGCCCGACCGGCUGCCAAAGCUUUUCAGCCCUUGGCCCGCCUGUGCAGCGAGAAGGUUACAUUAUUCCUUAAGACCCUACGUCUCCUGCGCCUCCGCGCGCCUCGUGAUUAUUCUCAACACCGCGAGCUCUUAUCAGGUUAGCUAAUUAUUCGGCGGCCAAGCUGGCCCCGCUUCUCCUUACGCGUGAUCUCUGUUUUUCCUGCUAGCCGUCUUGAAACGUUUAUACAUCGUCUUCAGUCGCCGCUGUCUCCUGCGAGGAUUUAAUUGACGACAAACCACCUUCGCCUUAACCAACAUCAUGUACGCUCCUACCGCCUACUACUGCUCCGCAGCCCCUGCAGCACGAGUCUGCGCUUCCGCCGCCGCGCGUCUCGCACCAGUCAUAUUAAGUCUGUCCUGUUUUCGGCCCGCCACUGUCGCACCAAGAGCGCAUCGCGCCUACACCCUCGACCGAAAAGCAAGCACCAGGACCGGAAGCUCUUCCCUCUCGCAGUCAUCGCUGUUCUCUGAGUUUGCGACAUUCGAGGCUAACGCUGAGAACGCUUACAACUUUUGCAAUAGUAACGACAACAGUUGUCACAGCAGCAUGGCCGCUGCCGCUCCGACCCGUGCUUUCGGCCACGAGCAGCCCCAGCAGCCGUUUGUGGUGACUCGCAAUGCGGUGGUCAUGGUUCCGCCCAGCCCGACCAAGCGCCCCCGCAGCGAGUCCUUUUGCAACCUGGACCGCCCACCGAUUUGCAUGCCGACCAAUAAUAACUCCAGCAGCGCCGCCGUGAACGGUGGUGCACCCAAAAGCCAGAACGCCAAGGACUCGUCUGCGAGCCACCUGGACAAGGCAUUGCGCAGCGUAGUGAAGAUCUUUUGCACCAGUGCCAAGUAAGUGUUUCCUCAUUUGGGUUUACUCCCCUAUCGUUGACAGGUGGUAUGGCGCGCGUGCUGCCCCGAUGCGCGUGCUACCUGUUACUCGUUUUCCGGUGCCCAUAAAACGCUAAAAUUUGAUGUGGGUCACAAGGCAUGUGAGUUUUUGGUGACCCAGUAAGGCAUCGCACUCCUCCCACCAGCUGACCAGCCCUGCACAUCCCCUCUCCCCCCUCCCGCCUCCCCUUCUCCCCGCAGCCCCAACUACAGCCUCCCUUGGCAGAUGAUGACUCAGACCAAGUCCACGGCUUCCGGCUUCGUGGUGGCACCUCUGUCCUCGCGCCGCAUCCUCACCAACGCCCACGCGGUUGCCAACCAGGUGCAGGUCAUGCUGCGCAAACACGGUAACGCGCGCAAAUACCCGGCGAGGGUGCUGGCGGUGGGACACGAGUGCGACAUCGCCAUGCUGACGGUGGACGAUGACGAGGUGCGUACAUGCGGGGUGGUCUUUGGCUACGUCAAAACGCAGCACAGCACAACGACCCGUGGGUCACUUGUGCGUCAAUGGCCGGAUGAACAUGGAAUGGACAGGGCGAUUACAUGCUCGUCGAGGGUCUUCUUCCGAUGGAGUUCAGUUCAGUUCGUAUCCCCUAAUCAUGUCGUACACCGUAUUCCCUAAUUAUGUCGGACACGCACAGCCAUGUCCCCCUUUGCCUUGUGUCGUUCCCUCGUUUUCAGUUCUGGGAGGGCAACGGCGGCGUGGAGGCUCUCCAAGUGGGCGGCCUUCCGCCCAUGCAGGAGAGCGUGACGGUGGUGGGCUUCCCGCAAGGAGGUGACAACGUGUGCGUCACCAAAGGGGUGGCGUCCCGCCUAGACCGUCAACAGUACUCGCACGGCAGAUGCGCUCUGCUGACCGUCCAGACGGACGCGCCCAUCAACAGCGGCAACAGCGGCGGCCCGGUGCUUCAGGGCGACCAGGUGGUGGGUUUGGCCUUCCAGUCGCUGGUGGGCGCGGAGAACACCGGCUACGUCAUCCCCACCCCCGUGGUGCACCACUUCCUCAACGACCUGGACAGACAUGGAGGAAAAUACACAGGUGAGCGAGUUGGGGGGUGGGGGGUGGGGGGAGGGUGUUGGGGGGCUUAGGGGGGGCCGGCGGGUGGCGGGGGAAAGGAGGGAGUUGCCUGCUACGGUACUGCCAUGCUUGGCUGACGGUAGACACUAGCAGCACCAGCAAUAGAAGAACCAACAGCGCAGCAAACCUGCUUUAGGCCUGGAAGUUUGACUUGAUGAUGUGCGAUGUGCUGCGACCUAAUCUUCAGGUGUGUUUAUGGCUGCUGCCGCUGCCCUGCUGUCUCCCCAUGGCUUGUUAUCUCUCGUCGCCCUCCCUCGCUGUGCUCGUAUCCAGGAUUCCCCGAAAUGGGUAUCAGCUGGCAGUGCCUGGAGUCAGCUGACAUGAAGCGCUCGCUGGGUAUGCCCGAAGGAGCCACCGGCGUCUACAUAACCGGAACAGAGCCCGUGUACGACUCGACCAAGGUACGAACGAUUCAUGCACCUACCGUACAUUCUGAAACCGAUAAAAUGUAGGAAGCCUGACUUAUUGCACGACUUAAAUUGCUCUUUCCGGUUAUCAACCUUCCUUUCCAGGUCCUUCGUUCGGGUGACGUGUUGACCAGUGUUGACGGGCACCAGAUCGCGGACGACGGCACCUUCCUGUUCCCCGACCAGUCGGUACGCAUCGACUUCCGCCACCUGCCCUCCAUGGCGUACGACGGAGACAGCCUCCGGGUGGGCAUCUGGAGGGACGGCGCCGCGCUGGAGCUGCCCCUCCUGGUCAACGUGCCCAGACACUUGGUGCCGACGCACUGCCACGACCUGAAGCCAAAGCAAGUUGUGGGGGAGAGGUGUCCUGGCCCUUAGCUGCUUGGCAGGGGACAUUUCUUUCCUUUUGUUCUUCGUUUGGGGCUUAUGUAAUGUAGUGCCCAUCAUUACCCGAUGGGCCUCCUAUCCUCCCGGCCUUUCCGUGCGGCAGGUACUACAUCUUCGCCGGCCUUGUGUUCACUCGGCUCACCAACUUCUACCUGCGGCAUCAGUACGGCACCGACUGGUCUACCAAGGCGCCCAUCAAGCUGUGUGACCGCUACCUGAGCGGCUCUAUGGAGGCCCUGGGGCAGGAGGUGGUGCUGCUAAGCAAGGUAGGCAAGGACGACAGGGCAGGGCGGGGAGGGGAGGGAACGGCGGUACGGAGAAGGAUGCUAUAGGUUUUGGCUGUGGAGAUCCCGUAGCUAGCAUGGACUUCGGCCUAAAUUUCAGGAACCCGUCAGCGAAGUGAAUGGGCUCCCCGCUGCCUGGCCACAUGUGACAUCGCCCUCCUCCCCCCCCUGCUGUUCAGGUGCUGUCGGCAAGCGUCAACCAGGGCUUUCAGGAGAUUCAGAACGUCCAGGUACGACAUCUUUGCAGUAGGCAGCCCCACAACGUUGUAUGCACACCAAAUGGAUUCUUGGUUGCCCGGCAUGUGCAUUGAUUGGCAUGGAUCAUGCUGUGCCCCUGCAAUCCAUUCCCCUUGGCCUUGCUCCCCCCGUGUCCCCUCUCCCCCCCCUUUGCGAUCCCCCAGGUGUACAAGGUGAACGGGGUCAAGGUGCACAACCUGGCCCACAUGGCCCGCCUGGUGGAGGAGUGCGACUCCGAAUACAUCCGAUUCGACCUGGAGUGGAAGAGGGUGAGCGCCGCGAAGGGGAAGAGGGCGGGAGAAUCACACCUUCGCUGCCCCGACAGCAUCGUGGUCUAAAGUCGUGGUUCCUUAAUGUUCACAGCCUUUCAUGCAGACCCCCCUACACACGCUCUUCCCGCUCUCUGCCUUCUAAAUUGUUCUACUGCCCCGGCAGGUGGUCGUGUUGCACACCGGCAGGGGUCGCAGCGCCACUCCCGACAUCCUGCGCACCAACUGCAUCCCCGCGGCUGCCAGCGAUGGGCUGCUGGAGGAGGAUCUGCAGCUGCCGCCGGACGUCAUGCAGCUCAGCCAGCCAAGCAUGGCGGACUCGGAGGUGGUGGAAGAGCAGGAGGCAGUGCCGGUGGGGGAGCGAAUGGCGAAGCUAUGAAUGUCGCACAAUUGAGGAGGAUGAAGGCGUGGGUCCAGGUUUACGUCUGCUGCAGGAGGGCGAUAUACAACGUGUGCUUAUUGCUUGCGGGAAGGCGAGGAAGAAGUAGGGGAUGCAGGCUGGCAGGCUGGCAGGCUGGUCAAUGCCGUUUUGUACCAUAUGAUUUCUUCUUGUAUGCGUUAAAUCUGACUGCAGUCUUGCCAACGGUUGCUUGUUAUCUGUCGUCUUGAUGGCCUUCGAAGGCAGAGGCUACAGGCUGUUUGCAGGAUGUUUGGACACCUUGCAUGCGGCACGUUGCAUAUGGCUUAUGCGGCCAUUAGAUUACAUAAUCGCCUGCGCAAUGGUGCUUGUUGAGCUGGGCGAAUUGAAGAGUGUAGUGAAGAGAGACGGAAAUAAGCGGCAUCAGCGCCCUCUGCACCUUGCAUGGUUGGAUGUGUUGCAUGGAUCAAUUUGGAUAUCCGGCCCCCAUGCCGUCGGUGGAGUAGGUAGUGCCACUACCUAAUAAAUGAUGUCGAAUUUGUAACGAAGCAUGCAUAAUCUUCCGAGGACACACUAUCCUUUUGUGUUCGCGAUAUCUAUGUUUAGGUCAACAUAUGUCAGCUGAACUGUGAAAAUGGGAAACAUGGGGCUUCGACGAUGGGAUGCUGCUUCUACGGGUGGAACGUUUUGCAAGACACUUGUAACACCAAGGACGUUGGUAGGGGUAUCAUACGGCGUACGCGACGGCAAUGCUCGCGUGUAUAUACGAAAUACAUUCGAAAUAAGCUCAAAAAACGGCAUCGUCAAACGUACUUAUUUUUUUGACCGGAGCUGAAAAUUUCCUUAUCUGCUGUUUAUAUCCUUCUGCAUAUCGCGGACAUACAGUUUACCUCCCCCAAUGGCCGAUUCAGCUGAAUGGAUUCAUGUCAAGGUGGUGAAAACUUGCGGCACUAACAAAGAAGUCACUUACAACAAGCGAAUAGAAAGGCUAGCCACCAUAGGCAUCAUUGACUCAGUGGACGGACUUGAAUUUUUGCAUUGCAUGGCUCUGCAUGGACCUGCAGCGGCCCUGUUGAUACCGUGACCCAUGGGUCGGAUUGCCUGUAGCGGCGAGAACGACCGUAUUUCCCAGCGAAUUCAUGGAUUUUGCGUAUUAUACGCGUAUAUGUAUUAUUAUACGUAUUUGGUACGAGUUACAUAUUGGACCACUAUGGUCGCACCCCUCAGCUAAAACUGUUGUGCGAUCUUUCUGUGUUCUUUCAUCCACGAAAGGGCAUACCUGUAGACCGAGGCUUGCACGUUUAUUUCUUGACGAGUGUAGUUAUGGAAACAGCCGGCGGUGAUUCCUCGGCCGUACGCACGUGCUCAACCCGUAAGCGCUGGCUUCUCAUUUGGACGAUGCAAGUGUAAGUAGUGAUUUUGUCGUACAAUCUCUGUCGUACUGUUAUGUGUUAUUUAUUUGUUCUGGUCACAACCUUGUUAUGGCUAUUCGCCGUGUUGAUACCUUGGUUAUGCUUUUUCUUCCACCCUCACCUCCCUAGUUGGGUGCGCUUGUUUUUGUUACAUCGGGCCUCACCGCCCGGUGGUUUGAGCCUAGGUGCCACUGCCGGCCACUGGUCCAAUAUAAAUGCGGGGGUUUUCGGGGCAGGGGAGUUAGGGUAGGGUCGAGCCGACCAGCGGGGAGACCAUAUGGGGAGGCACCAAGCCGAUCAGCACGGCGGUGCAGGGAAUUCGUUCAUAGUAGUGGUUGGGAGGUUUAACGGGUUUUGUCUGCGAACUGGACGGGGUUUGGCUACGUUCACUGCUGGUCGCAUCGCUGCUGGGGAGGUUUUAAUGUAAUUACGAUGUAACAACAGAGGACAAGAAGGUGCUAUAUACGUCACAAGUUACAAGUUUCGCACACACGUGCGGUGGUGUCCGUAAAAUCCGGGGUUGCCAUGGACGGUAGAUUGGGAUUGAUGUGGGUACGUGGGGGCCAUUAUCGUCCUCCCUCGUCCGCUUCAGCGCGAAGCGCCUUAGCGCAACGUGCCUGGCUUCCCAGAUUUCGAGAGGUACCUGGCCAAUGCCUGGGGCGGCGCCUCAGUCAUAAUGGUACGCAUGCUCCGCCCUUGAUACACGAGGUCACCGUCGUACUUAACCCGAGCGCUUGCGUAAGCAGGGCAUUCCUCGAACCUGCGUAAUGCGCUAUAGGGUCAUCACCACGCGUGCUAGUGGGUGUUCGCCCUCCUAAGCUGGUAAGGAAAGCUAGGAGCUUGCUCGUCCAGCACUCAGUAACGCACCCCUGUGCCAACUCCAGGCCGGCAACGAAGGCCCGAUGGCCUCUUAAUCAUGGCGUUCCAAAACUUCAGUACAAGGUUGGCCCAGUGGAACUGGAGUGGCCUUGCGACAGCACACGAUAGAGGGAACCAUAGCCGGGUUCCUUGCCCCUACUAUGGACUGCAUGUACGCGUGCUGCUCCUGGACCAAAGGGUUAGCCAUUGCACCUUUGGAGCUCGCACUAAUGAAUUCAGGUCUCCAAACUCGGGCCCCCAUACGAAAUCACCGCUACAACGACCGUGUUCAAGAGAGACAUACAUAGCUUAGGGGUGGUGUAGUAGCUUAGAGGUGUAGUAGGUGGUAAUUUCCUUACCAUGACGCAAGGCACUGAGUCCAAACGUGUCCCGCCUCCCUGCCGCGAGUAGCUGCCGCUGAGAACUGCGCACCAGGGCCGUAAUGCAGUCCGAGAUAGUGCAGUUUAAUUGCCGGUCAGCACCCGCAUGCCCACCCCACCUAGCCGGUACUCGGCCUCCAUGAGCCGCUUUCGCUCAUCUGCCGUGCCCCCUUUCGCGGCCAUCCCGUCGCCUUGCAGAAGGCUCCGAGUAGCCCGAGUAGGCAUUGAGAACUUGCGUGCCCAGUCGCGACCAGUGACGCAUCGUCAAUGAAAAGCAGGUUGGUAAGUUCACUGUCCACCAGGCUCAUGCCCUGCUCACGGAGAGUGCUCCAUCGGCCGGGAAGACGUACGCGGCAGUCAGUGCCGUGAGCAUCAAUGCAAUGAGCGAACACUUUGAUGAAGAGCCCCCAAAGGGUUACAGUAAAGGGCCGCCCUUGCUUCACGCCGCGGCCUACGGACUAUUCAGGCUCUAAUCUACCACCCAACUUGACCUUAACCUUCACACCAGCAUAGCUAGCCUUCUUUUAUCAUGGCGGCAAAUGGUAGUGUGGACAGUUGUUUGGGGGCAUUUAGUUCCUUUUCGUGUCCUCUACACAUUAUAUAGAAUCUUUGAUCGUACGUCUGAGUGCGGGCGCGGUAUGCACGCAUCCUAACUCUAUGCGUUAGAUAUGGAUGCUGCAGGCGUCGCCCGAAUAAUUCAACAUAUCCAUGUGCGCCAGAGCCCGAUGAGCGCUUAGGACAGCUUACUGUGGUUCAAGGGAUUCCAAACUGCUCGCAACGCUACGUAAUGAGCUCAGCUUUGCAUACGGCUUGUAGUCAAGGUCAACUUCAAAGCAAGCGGCCGAGCCGCAUCUUACAAACGGCCCCUAACCACAGAAUGGUUGGGCGCUACUUCCAUGCCGUCUGAUCCGUCCGUGGUCGUCCGUGCAUGACGGCACGAGGUAAGCCUGAGUCAACUAUGUCCUAACCUACAGUAAUUACCCAGCCACCUUCACUCGUUCACUAAAUUCCUGUGGGAACGCACACAGCUUAAGGCACUUUCGUCCCAUCGCUACCGUCACAUUGAACAUGAAUAUACUUGCCUACCUAUAUACAUCCUGCCUAUGUGUCAGUUAUUGCCUAGCCUGCCUACCGCCUGACCUAUCAUACACAUGAGUUAUCGUAGCGGAUGCAGUCAAGUCGUUUCGUAAGUCACUGCGGCUCCAAGCAAAGUCCCAUGCGCCACAUAAGGUUCCCAGGUCGCGACCUGUCAAGAUACCCUAGCAUCGCCAAGAAAGUCAGGAAAUGUCGGGUAUAUGACGAGUUUCAUGGAUGGUUAUCGCGACCGCAUACCUUCCUCACAUACUAUGUACUCAUCGGUCCCCAACGGUCCCCCAAUACGUCCCCCAUCCACAGCGUGAACAGCACAGGAACGGAAGGCUAACGCUCAGUGCGAUAAAGGGCCUCAACCCAGCUGCCUACAGGCCACCACUGUUUAUGUCCCAGUCCAAACCUGCAGCUCAAUGCAUUGACGGCUAUGCGCUUGUCCUGAUAUCCCCGUUCACCUGUGGCAGGGUCAUAUAAACCAGACACGUUCCCCUCAAAUCCCCAAGAGCCCCAGGAACUCCUCAAUGCUAAUUGUCCCCGUCUUGUUCUUGUCCAAGCGCCGCUUGAGGCUAAUUGCCUGGUGCCGCGUGAAUUUGAGACCGGCCGCCAGCAGGCCCGCCUCCAAGUCCUCACCACCUAGAGCACCUGUGCCUGCCUUGUCCGCGGCGAUGAGCGCUGCCCGCACGGCAUCUUCCUUGCCGCUGACUUGUGCGUUCAGCGACCGGACCAUCACAUCUGUGUCCGCCAUUACGAAAAUGUCCUUGUAGUUCUCCAUGUACGUGAGCGUAUACUCAUCCGCCUCCAGCAGCUCAAAGCUGCGGUUGAAUACUUCAAUAACGCUGCCCACAUACAGGUCCAGAUACGUAUAGAUUUCCUCACUGCGUGGCUUGUAGAUCCGCUGGCGCUCCAGGAAUUUGCCGCCUGCAAUACCCGUGUUGCGCACUGGCGGCUCAAAGAUGAGCAAUGUGUCGUCCAUCAUAAAGUACGACAGGAUGAAGCGCCGCGCGAGAUCGGUACCCGAAUGUUUGUGCGUCUCGGUGUCAACCAUCUUGACAACGAAGCGCAGGAUGAUCUUGUCCUUGUUCAUGAGCUUGUGCAGGUCACGCUUUGGCGGCUUGGGAACUAGGCUGAGGCAGUUCUGCAAGCUGUCCUCUAGCGUGCCAUAGCCGUUGUACGGUGGCAGUGCAGCCUUGGGCUUGGGCAGGAUGGGUUCCUUGAUAUCCACCGGCGUCAUCUCUUCGUCACCGAAGCCCAGGUUAUCCUUGUACCAGUUCUUUGUGAAUGUGUCGGCAUCGUGCAGGUAAAAGUCGCGGCCAAGCACAGAGAUGAAGGUGCCAAGGCGGAAGUCGCCAGGCGAGUAGCAUUGGUCCUUACGGUAUUUGGGGUUAAGCGUGGUGUUCGUCUUCACAGGCACCUUCGGCAGUGGGCCGCGCUUCAGGAACACGGGGAAAGGAUCGCGGCCGCUGUUGCUCUCAUUGAUUUCCAAGAUCUCCACCGUGUCAUCCUCCAGGAAGUAAUGAAGAACGUAUGGCCGGCGGUCGCCAUACAUUGACUGGCGCUCAUCCCAGACGCACCAGAAGCGGAGCACCUUCUUGUUAUUCUCCAGGAACUGGCGCAACCGGUCUCCGUCCAGCAAAUGGCUGGGCUUGCCUAGGCGUGCCUCCACGUACGCCUUGAAGUCAUUCAUGCGCCGGGUCAGCGUGCCAGCGGUCGCUGCAGAAGUACGAGCAACAAUUCAGAGUUUCGAAAAUUUGCACUAGUCCCAAGGUACAAUGCACGCGGGUUGACGUGCCAGGCACUAAAACGAAUAUCGCGCCAACGGCAAAGUCCAAAAAAAACGUCAUCUUGCAAAACGGUAAAAAAAACCAACAUAUGCAAUGCCGCACAUGCUUGGCCACAGCAAAUGUUAAUGGGUCCAAAUUACAAGGACAUGUGACCAGCCAUGGGCGUAGUGCCGUUGGGGAGACCUGCCAUGUGUUCAACAUCAUCUGCAUCAAAACACAACCGUAAGCCUGGAGACUGCCAUAUCCCAUCCUUAUCCCGCGGAACCCUUCCAGGACUCACUGUCGUCAGCGCGCCCACGGUUCAUCCCGAAGGCAGUGCGGUAGCCAUCCACGGGAUCGUCAGGAUACGGCAGCGCAGCACCCUGCUCCUUGCCCUUGCCAGCUAGGUACUCGCGCGUGAAGUUAUCAGCGUCCACAAGGAAGAACGUACGGCCAUAGAUAGUGACACUCUGACCGACGCUGAAGUCAUCCGGGUUAAAAAAGCCGCCGUCCUCGCAGGUCACGCGGUGGCGCUUAAUGAAAACGCCCUAUGGUUCAACAGGGCAGGCACAGGAGUGAAAGUGUUAUAAAAACACACUCGUCCAAGCUCCAGCGGCAUUCCUAGUGCAGGCAAUGCAAGAUUUCCAGUACAACCUGUCGGAAUAUGACAAUUCACAUGUAAAUUAGCAUGUCAAAAGAGGAUGCUCACCUGUGGAAUGCCGCUGUUGUCCUGUCGCGGCUCGGCAACGUGCAUGGUGUCGUCCUCGAGAUAGUAGUAGAGGAUAACCUUGCGGAUACGAUGAUUCUCCAUGUUGCUCUCAACCACAGACUCCUUGAAAUAACCGAAGAAGCGCAAGACCUGUCGUUUUUGGCAAGCAGUUGAGCUGUGAGCACUAAGUUACCUUUUAAGACGCGGCCCAUCAGAACAAUCUAUGAGUCGCGCACCUUGCGAUCGUUCUCCACCCACUGCGGUAGCUUGCUGGCAGCAUCCGGCGCCAGCAUGCUUGCGGGCAGGGUGGCCGAGGAGGUCCCAGCAACGGCAUCCGUAGCGACACGCUCCGGCAACUCCUUAACAACCGCCAAAGUCUCUUCCCUCUGAUACCCAUUCAAAUAGUUAAGGGUUUGGUGCUUCUUGAACCCCUUGUCGCUCAGCGAUUGCUGCGGAAUGGAAAAUAUUUUACCGUCUUAGGGCCCGAUCGACUCAAGCACAUAACCCACAGUCAGCAAGUUAAAUACUUACAGGCAUGCAUACUGUGUAGCCAGGGAGCUUGGGAAUGGGCGGCGCGGACAUCUUGGUUAAAGUUUUGGUGAAGAGGUCACGAAGUGAAGUGAGAUGUUUUAGUAAUACGCCUGUGAUGUAACUGAUCUGACAGCAGCUUAGAACGAUUCCAUUAAAGGGCAUUUGGGAUUUCGUUAUAGGCAAGUCCGACAGUUCGAAGGCAGCCAGCCAACCCUCCAGGGGAGCCCAAAACUUGUGCGAAAUUACUUUCAAUUAUACAAAUACAUUCAAUUAAUUAGUCACAUGCUCAACCAUUGCUGCGUGCAGUAAGCUGUCUGAUCUGUUCCUUCAUGCAUUACUGCCUUCGCCUCCGUGCAUGGUGGAAAUCAGUUUUUAGGGCACAGAUAUUUGUAGAAGAUAUGACCCAUGUAGCUGGUCUCGGCGCUGGAGAGAUUCUUGGAAUGAGAAUUGCAGGACCCCGUUCCUCAACACGCCUCAACACCCAGAACACCACAACAGCGACAUGUCAUGAUAUGCUGGCCCACUCCUUGCACCAAGCCGAGUCCACAGCAAAGGAUACCGUCGGAAGGGAGCCCUCGGCGCUGUGCGCUAGCUACAGCACGCACAGCUGAAGCCCUGGGCUAGCCGUGGGUAGAUCACUGUGCAUUGAGGGCAGCACACGGCUACACGACUGAGGACCUCUACAGGCGUGCACAAACACCCUACGAACAGUACCUGGUGUAGCGUCCCAUAAUAGUUGGGGCCAGUGGAGCCUUCUGGCCUUAAAAGAAACGAAAAUGGAUGGGAGCUCUCACGGUCGUGAUGCUAGUCACUGACUGCCCCAGUAUAUUCGCUGUUUCAACACGGGGUAGGCUCAGAGCAGGCUUGGGGUACAGGAGCGGUGAGAUACGCAUAGACGUACGUAAAGCUCUCCGGUGUUUUCCGAAUGGAGAAGCAUUAGUGAAGAGAUGGUACAGCGCAGUACGCCUAGUAAAAGCGAUUUAGUUCACUGCUGGGUGCUACCCUGAGUCAACGAUCCAACAUAUGGCACCGAUGUUGAUCCAACAUAUGGGAAAUCAUUAAGAGAGCUGCGAUGGCUUGGCUUCCGCGGUGUUCUCCUGCCCUGGUACAUUACACCAUAUACACAGUUAUCACCAUCUCGCGAAAAAGUUUCAGGUCUAGGGAUUCAGGUCAAUCAGCACGGCCAUCGAAGGCCAACCACCUGCGCAUUAUCACCUCCUACAAGCAAUCAGCAGCUCUUCACAGUGCAUGACGUGGCAACCCAACCUUGAGGUGACCGCGGGUGUGGUCACAAGCAACGGGGCCCACAUAAAAGAAUAUCACACAUGCGCCAUGCACGGCAAACGAAAGCGGAGCACCGUAGUGCCGUGCCCCGAAGAAAGAGACAAACGUGUGGAAAGCACCGCAGAGGAAGGAAAGCGCCAAAUUGUAGGGCCGCCCGUACACGGCCAAGAGUUCAAACUAUGUCAGGUACGCAGUGCACUUGAUGGUACAGGGGGACAACUCUGCGGGCUUCGAAUGCUGACAUUCCGUUCACACACCGCUCCACACGAACAUAACACACCACAAACAGUACGGAAGAAACCGACCGGACAAAGAUCAAAACAGAAACGGAAACUGGAGCUCGCACGCUGAGCACACACGCUCUGUCUGGGGCCAUCCGGGUAAGCAAAAACGGCUAGGCGACGACAACCCCUGCACAGCCCUUCCGCGCGAAGCUGCGUAGCUGCAGCCAAUACCCAAGCCAAAUUAUACCGGCACGCAAGCGUCCCGUUGUGUCCAGGCAAAAGUCGUUGGAAGCCCCCAAGGGCAUCCGGACUACUUCGGAAUGUCGGAAGUGGCUUCCUUGGCAGUGCUGGCAGAGGGGGGAAGUCGGUUGUAUUCCUGCACGGCCUUCAGCGCCUUGUUAUAUGCGACCUGCGACAACCAGAAAACCAUGCCAGGAGGACGUCAUAAUCGUUCCCCGUGCUCGACGUUUUGGAUAACGUAAUGCCGUGGAAUUCCACCUGGUAAACCUGGUAGACGGACGUAACCUGUCCCACAAAAGCACGAUUUCAACCCAGCAGCUUACCACUCGGUUAUUAGCGGCUGCCACAAUCCGGUCGGCCACGAGAACCUCAACAGCCGCGGGAUCUGCGCAUGUAAAUAAAGGUUCGGGUAGUCUGUACUUGGGAAGAACCAUGCCAGUACACUGCAACCGGCUUAUCACGUUGGUGCAUGCUUGCCAACUUCCAUGCGAAACAGUGUUUCCAAGUUAAGCUCCACAAGUUUUACGGAUACUGUCCGCUUGCAUAGGAGACAUGACUAGCACUGCCAGUCGCUAAUCCCUUGACGGAAAUAGCCUGCUGUACACGGGGUAGAAAAAAAUGCUAGGAGAUAGCGACCGGCUAAUGCAACUCCCGAGGACGCUAAAGACGUCUGGGCGGCUUAGGCGGACACGAGCAGCCCGGCACGUGACACGUUGGGAGGAAACCUCACACAUGAAAUGGGACUCGCUGAGCCGAGGAAGCCAAGCAGGCCCACUCCCCUUUACCCACCAUCCCCACAUGCAAUAGCCACCUUGGUUCAGGCGCAUGCCCCCGAAUGCCACGCCAUUACUAGAGCAGUUACCCAGCUCUCGGUCUACGACACGAAGACACGAUCGGGCCGCUGUACAGCCAACAAUGUCGGUACAUAUAAUUUAAUAGUUGCACCCAGUCAUGUCCUGGAAAAAACUGGAUGGAGGGCUAUAAUAUAUUCAAAGGGCCCAUGCUAGACAAACAUCACCACAAGGACACAAGGACCAGAACUCCAAAAUCAGCACCCGCGCGCACCGUCGUUUCGUUCCCUUAGCUGCUGGUGCUUGUCCAUUUGCGCUUGCAGGUCCUCGAGCGAAUUCCGCACCUGCACCAUGGAACCGCACCGGUGGCAGUACGUACGCAAAUCAAGCAAAAGCUGUCUGCGUAUGCCCGCAAUGGUAGCGCAUAUAAGCUGCAAUCUGCACACAUACAACCGAAACAACCUUUUCAAUCAACUACGCUGAUGGCAGGAGGUAAACUCACCCCGUCCUCAAGGCGCUCCUGCUCCGCCAUCAACGAUGGGUGAAUCACAGGAAUGGCCGUAGCCGCUGCAAAGUUGGAAGGAACUACUCGGGGAGAUGCAGCACGCGAUGCCACGCUUCCUACAGGCGGCACAGCAGGUUGUGGAGUCGCAGCCGGAAUCCCUGUUGCCUGGGUCGGCGGCGGUGUGCCAUUGCUGGAGGCCUUUGGCGCAGCCGCUGCAGGUGGCACCGGCGGCGACACCUGUGGUGUACUCGCAGCCGAGGGCCCAGCGACAGAUGCAGCUGCUGCGGAAGGUUGCGGCACAACCUGCUGCCGACCAUUCGUCUCCCGAGGUUGAGGCGAUUGCUGCUGCGGCGACGGCUGUCCUUGUCGGUGUUCGGCUGCUGCUGCGGGCUUACCAUGCCCGGCGGUGCCGUUGCUGCUGGACCCAGCAGCCUGAACCUCCGCCUCCUCUAUGUCCACCUUCUUGAACGAAUCAUCCCAAGCAUCCGCAACUUUAACCCGCUUUGGAAUUUUCGUGCCACUCGGUUGAAGUGGAAGGGUAACACGGUAAUUACUGCCGGGCUUCCAGUAACCAAUGUUGCCAUCCUGGUUAACCACAACAUACUUGUACUCCAGGUCCAAAGCGCCCCUACAGACCGGAGAGGUCAGCAAGCGCAAUGUAACCCGUGGGUCACAGCGAAACAAAACACUCCCUUCGCCUGAAUAAGGAGACAUCAGCGAAAAACGUGUAAGGCAUACAUACCCGGGUGAUAUGCUUAGCUCCACUGUCCACCAAUCGCCGUCCGUCCACUUCAUUUGCACUGUCCGCUUGGGGUCCCAGUUGCCAAGCGAGUCGCCUGAGCCAACCAAGCCCAAAGACUGUCCGAAGUUGACCCGAUACGGAAUCUUGAAGUUUAACCGGAGAGGGUUGUUGGGCUUGUUGCCUGAAGCAAGCCAAAAAAGCGCGCUUGCAACUCAACAACCAGUAAGGACAAGAACGCAGUCCCACGCUAUACCGCAAACAUCUCACUUAUUUCGUCUGCACCGCCCUUAAAGCAACGGACGGCCCUGGACCGGAUGCAAGACCUGGUUCCCUGCAAUGUAAGAAGCUUCCCGUCUUAAAUCUGUUGCAGCCUUUUGACACAGCAGUCAUGCAAAUAAAUGCUUUUGGUAUGUUUGCAAAUACGUACCCUGCAUAGAGGGAUGUAUCUCUGGGCUGUUCCACAGCACUGCUGACUCCUUGGCGAAAGCUGGACCAUCCCGUUGGAACCAAAGGCAAUGUUGCGAUGACCUGGAUAUUGUGCCGCCCCAGGCAGGCGGGUUGGCUAAGUGUCCAGUGGCACAGGGAGUCGUUUCGGACAAGGGAGUCGCUAAAUCAGCAUGGACACAACAAUAAGCUCAUUGCAAACAGCAUAAAGUUCAUGCACGUUCAAUGCAUUUCUGCAUAUAUGCGCUGACGUGGUUCCGGCGUGCAGAAAAGGAACAGGCGGUACGAACGGCAGUACGAUGUUGCCGAACGCCCGCACAAGCUCUCGAUCGAAUGAAGAGAGGAUACAAAGGGCAGGAGAAAUAGGAGACGCCGAGACUAGACCUCUGAGGUAUCCCGUAUUCCGAGCUGUAUACGGACGUUGAAUCUUAUCUGGCGUUACUAGUAUUUCCCAGUCCACAUCGACUGUUACCCUGCAUUGACUGCUACCUUGCUGUUGAAGGCCCCCGUGUUCCCACGUACCCCCCACACGGUAUGCGUGUUUGUUUUUUUCAUCCAUACGGACAAUACCCCCAUCUGGUUUGGCACGGUUUCGGUCGGGCGGGUGCGGCGGGAAUUACGUGUAAGGGUUGUGCCUUGGACAUUACCGUAGCCAGAGAAGUCGCCCUUGUUACAGUUUUUAAGUUGUCCGCACCUGGAUUUCUCCCAGGCAUUGAUUGCCACUCCAGGGUACCAUUCCCUGAUUGAUGGGCAGCAUAGGACCGCACUCAUACGUACAACCAGGUAGCCGCUGAUCUGUAGCAGUGAUACAUACUUUGUUGAUUGUAUUUAUCGUUGUGAAACAUAUCUACCACGUUCCUCACUCAGCGACAAUAGAUGACGACGAUCGACUCCGUGUCAAUAGCAUCUUGACAUAUCCCUGGAACGCAGACCAGAUCAUACCAAAUAGUUAUAUAUGCUGUCGGGCUGUAGCCCAAGAAACCUAAUAAACGAAUGCCUGUGAGUGUUGUAGUGCGGUUGGCUUCGAUUUGUAAAAUAUGAAGAUUCUAACUCCUUCCCACGGUGUACUUUUGAACACGACAGGCCCGGAAACUACUAGAAAUUGAGCCGCCUGGUGCGUCCACGCUUUCCCGAAUGCUGCAGGUCGAAUGCUCAUACCCGUAACUGUCCUCACGUUCGUCACCCUUUGUACCGUUGCAGGAGCUGUGCGAUAUAUCCUCGGACUCAUUGUUAUGCUGGUUGGAGUUGUAAGUUGUGCUUGCCGAUACCGUAACCUGGUUAGGAGCACGAAGUCGACCUCCCCCUCCCGCGAACACACCACCACCUUCAACAAGGGACUAUGGACCCUUUCGCCCAGCCUUCCAUAUCCGUUGCGCCUAUAUCCGGCACCCGAUCGAUCCCGGCUGAGACAUAAAAAACAGUCCCAUGCCCGCAUACGCCCGUUUGAGCUCGGAUUUGUGUCAACGCAGCCUCCAUUUCGACGUGUAGCAUAACCCCUCCUCUGCUUGUCCCGCAGAUCCUCCCGCUUGCGUACGCAUUCCUGAGGCGCAAGAACCCCUUGGCGGCCAACUUCCGACCGCUCCGCACAUCAGCCUGACGCAGAGUCGGAUUUCCAUACCCUUAUCGUAGCGUGUGUGCUGCCGCCGCCUCGUGCAAUAAGGAAUUUCUAGCCGCGGAGACCCACAGCAGCCAUUCGAUUUAUCCGCUUUGGAUCGCCGCUGCGCAGUCUGCGGUCCUCUUCAACUUUCCUUGUCACCUUGUGCUCUGCCAGCUAUACACGCAAGUAAACGCAAAUGCAAGGCCUCAUGCGUGCCGUGCUGCUCUGCCGCGGCUCUUCCCAAGCCGCCUCCGCUGCUGCUGCGGCAGCUGGGUCGGCCACGUUUGUCUUUCCCGCCCUGGCGGCUGCAUCAGCCCAUCCCCAGCGCUUUCUUUUCGCCGGCAUCGCCCAGCGACGCCUGUCAACCUCGUCCCCCUCUGCCAGCAGUAGCCACGGCCACGCGCACAGCGCUGCAUCUACUCCAUGCAACACAGUCGGCGAUGCUGGCGCUGGUGCGGGUGCCGCCGCGUCUGUUGGUGGCGGUGGUGAGGUCGGGCAGCUGCAUGUGACCGUGGAGCCCCUAUCCGGGGUGCACGAGGGCGUGUCCAUCAUCAGUCUGAGCCGCCCCGCUGCGCGCAACGCCAUUGGUCGGCAACUGCUUCGCGAGCUGGCUGAGGCUCUGGAUACUGUGCGCCAGGAGCGGACCACUCGGUGUGUGCUGGUGCGCAGCGUGGUGCCAGGUGGGGCAGGAGGGGAGGGGCAGGAACGGGGGGGAGAAGGGGGGAGGGGGAGAAGGGGACGACGUCGGCGACAGCGGAACCAGACGUUAUCUGGUGAAUGCGUACACGGGAGGGAGCGGAAGUGGAAAGGUACAGACGGGCUGGGCGGGGUGGUCGUGAGAAUCAUGGGGCGGAGAGGACGGGUGGGGCCGGGGGAUUUGGAGGUGGCAUGGAAGGGCGGAGAUCGCUUUGGGUUCCGGCGAGAUGAUCACCCAGUGUGAUGACGGCUCUCAGGAAGGGGAUAUGCGCGGCAGGGUGGAGGUACUGCAAAUGGGUUUCAGCUGGGCGAGGGUGGUCACAUGAUCUGAACAGGCCGGCAGCGGCGUCCCUGCAUACGGACACUGGGAGAAGAAGCCAUGGACAGGGCCCCGGGGGCCCUUGGCUGCCAGGAUGGCCGGAAGGCCUUCCUAGAAUUUGCCCACUUUAGUCGAUUUUUACGAGGGCUGGGUUAAGGGCAAACGAGCUUGCGGGGGUUUAAGAGGUAAGCCAGGUUGAUAUCCAGGGCGCAGAGGGCCGUUGUGAUAUACAUGUAUUGGUUUAUAUCAUAGUAAAGGACGGGAAGGACCCGGACUAGGUAAAACCUGCCUAGCGUUUUGCUGCGUGUGCGUGUGGAGGGCGCGUCGAAGUGCGACCGUUCCGCGCCUCUCCCCUCGUUGUAUCUUCCGGCAUGGGGGCCCAUUCUGCCCUCGUCAGCUACACUACUACCUACCCGCUGCCGCGCUCAUGACCCAUCUGUGUCGCAGCCACCACCUCCACCCCAUUCUCAUCCCUUGCUGGGCCCCACCCCCACGUCCCUCGCCCCCACACCCCCACACCUCUCCUGGCGACGUCAGGUGUGUUCUGUGCGGGCGCCGACCUGAAGGAGCGGGCCACCAUGAGCCAGAGUGAGGCGGCCGAGUUCGUGUCCAGGAUCCGCCGCACGUUCACGGAGCUGCAGGUGGGGCGGGAAGGAAGGGGCUGCCGGGAAGGGGGGAAAGGCCCGGGGCGGGGCGGUGUUGGCCACACCUAGCGGCGGCGGCGGCAGCGGACGGUCCCCGCGCUCCCCGGAGGGGGCACCCAAGCACAUACGUACAUACGUACAUGCAUACAAACAGGCAGACACGCGGGCGUUCCCGGGGUGUGGAUGUAAAGGGGUCACCGUAGUUGUGGAAUUGAGGGGGGUCGGGCUUGUGUUAACGCGACUGCUGUUCGGUGUUGCCUUCAGGACCUGCCCAUGCCUACACUGGCUGUCGUGGAGGGCCUAGCGCUCGGAGGCGGUGCGGAGCUGGCACUGGCGUGUGACAUCCGGGUGAUGGGCUCGGGGGCGUCCAUGGCUUUCCCGGAGGCCCAGCUGGGCAUCAUACCGGGCGCGGGGGGUACACAGGUGGGAGAUAUUGGGGGCCGCCUGCUGGGGGAGGGGAGAGGGCCGGGGGGGGGAGAGGAAAGGACACCAGCACACCAGCGGCAUUGCGAACCCGAACACCGGUGUACCGCGUGGCGGGUACGUGGUGGUGGCGGGGUCGGGGUGGGUAAGGAGAAGGCAACCUGGGGGAAGGUGGGUUGCAGCGCAUGCGGAGGGCCAGAUAACCAUACUUGUGUACGUUGUUUGCGACUUGAGGGGUUCGGGAAAGCGCGCGCAAGGAGUAAAUGGGCGGAACACUACUACGGACAGAGGCCUUGUGCAAGUAGACGUGCAGUACGGGGCUCCUUGAGUUGGGGGUUCUUGCGUACAAGAGGGCGUCCUUGAAAGCAUCAUGGAGGCAGCAACGGCCACGGUCCCCACCCACCCGCACGGUCCCCUUCGCUCUCCUCUUCAUUUCCUGGCCGCGCCUGAAACCGCUUGCAUCGACCCUGAACUGCCUCUGCCCUCAACCCUAUGUCCCUCGGCGUCUAAUUGGCCCCCCUGUGUCCCACUGCUUCGCCUCCUUGCUCCUGCGGGGGCCCUGGUUCCCCGGUGUGUAUGUAUGUGUGUGCGUAUGUAUGCGUGUCUCUGUCCCCCAGCGGCUCCCCCGCCUGGUGGGCGCCAGUCGUGCCAAGGAGCUCAUCUUCACGGGCCGCCGGGUGACUGCUGCGGAGGCUCUGGACAUGCGGCUGGCGGAACACGUGGUGCCGGAUGACCAGGUCGGAGGGGUAGGGGGGAGAGGAGGGGAGUGGCGAGGAGGGGUUGGAGGGAAACGAGGGAGACCGCCCAAUCACAGUAAAGGUAAUGGAGGGAGGGAGAGGGCAGAGGAGUAGGAGAGCAAGGAACCCCGGACUCGUGCCCUACUUUGCCGGUGGAGCCCGGCCUCGACUGACAUGCGGGUCAGUGUGUGAGGGCAUUGCGAUUGCAGCCUGUUACGUGGUGUCGUGUAAUGGCCAUUAUGGCUUCAUUCCGUGUUCACUCGAGGCUGCCUGGGCCUGGGUGGCGCUUCCACUGGUUGCGCAGUCGCCUUGUUCGACUUUUGUGUGAUUUCCUUUUUGCAUUUCUGCCUCUGUGUGUCAUUCGCCCUUCCUUCCUCGCUCAGUCAUCCCCUCUUUCGUUCUCUCAUUCACUCCGUGCCACCCCGCGUGUGUGUAUGUAUGUAUGUAUGUAUGUAUGUCAUGGUGUCAGGUGUACAACCGGGCGCUGCAGCUGGCGGAGCAAAUGGUGCGCAGCGCACCCCUAUCCCUGCGGCAAGCCAAGGUGUGUAGCGGUGCGGAGGGAGACGCCCAUACCUCCAGCAGCCUUUACGUCAUGUCGACGGCUGGGUGUAGGCCGCUCUUUGUCCUGUUCGUUCGUUGCCCCUCACGCCGCUGGCAUUGCCCUGCCCUCCGCCUCCACCCGGGCCCCUCUAUGUGGCCGCCCCCCCACCCCCAGGUGGCCGUCAACCGGGGUCUGGAGGUGGACCUGCACACGGGGCUGGCCAUGGAGGAGGCGCUGUACGCGCAGCUGCUACCCACUCGGGACCGACUGGAGGGACUCAAGGCCUUUGCGGAGAAGCGCAAGCCGGACUACAAGGGAGAGUGAGAGGCCUUCGGGCGGCGUAGGGGGUGCGGCCGGGAGGUGUAUGUGAUGGGGGUGCGUGGGGCUGCGGUGCAACUGCCAAUGUUACGGACUGCCAACCCGGACCCCGAGAAGUGCACGGGGGGGAGGCGGAGGGAGGGAGGGCGACUGGGGUGUGUGGGUGGGGCUGGGGGUGUGUGUGAACCAAGGCGGUCCUGCGUAUUGGGUGAUGUGCUGAUGAGGAGGAUGGGUUGAUGCACCGGGGCGAGGAGGAGGAGGCGGAGGCGGAGGAGCCGCAUCGAGCAGCACACGCCCCACGGAGCGACCUCGCUAGCUAAACACGUGGAUGUGGCGUGGGUCCAGAGAAGAGGAGGGGGUGUCCUGUUGUGAUGUGGGUUAGGUCGGGUACGGAGUGGGGCCUGGGGGUGAUGGAGGGGGGGACUUGGGGCGGAUUGGGGUUGGCUCGGGGAUUGUUCCGUGGCUGGCAGCUUUUUGAGAUGCUGCUUGGGUGGUGGGGUGGGAUGGGAUGAGAACCACCACCUGGGCAUCAUCAUGCUGGGGAGGAGGACGGUAUGUGUGUGUGUGUUGAGAUUGAGGUUGAGACGUGUUGUGUGUGACUAUGUGUGUGUGUGUAUCGAUGUGUGUGCUUGGGGGGAGUGGCACAAUAUUGCGGUUGGUGCAAUAGCGGACGGUCGCCAGCUGCCUGAUGCCGAACCCCGCCCAUCCGGUACCUGGGUUUGCUGCACAGCAGGUUGUGAAGGGUGUUUACAUGGGCCGCAGCUUAGCGUUGUGUAUGCCUUAGCUCCAUGUAGGCACUGCUAGUUUGACGCAAUAUGUGUUGUAUUUGGGCGUUUGACGGCUACACUUCUGCCGCCUGCCUUGUUUAGUUUUUUGGCCAUGAAACUUCACCGCUGCGCCCCGUGCGGCACCCGGCAGCCUGCAUGUGAUGUGAUGUGCUGCGGGCGCUGCUGCCUCUCAGCGUAAGGAGGGUGGUGCAGGCGAAUGGAGCUGCAGGCUUGGGACAUUAAUAAGGCUGCAAGCCCCUGGGGAUGGGGAACUGGAUCGCGGGGCAGGUUUCCAGAAGCCGCUCGGUGCUUGGUGGAGAGAGCACCGGAACGGGGGUAUUGACGGCUUCCUUCGUUUGUCAAGUCCCCGGGGGAAUCCUAGUCGGCGGAUCGCGCUUUUUUUAAAACAGCCCAAAGUUGACUGGUCAAAAUGGGCAGCUAUAAGCCCGCCAAGUUCUUCGUUCCGGCCCAACUAAUUCGUUGGGACAGUCAAUCAUUAGGAAUCUAAUAGGGACACUCUCAUUGCCAUAAGUUUGGACGUCACAAUUGUCACAUAGCCAAUCCUACUGCGCUACUGCGACCAUACGGGGCCCGCCAAGGUGCAUCUACUACUUCUACUACUGCUGUGCGCCUUAGCGGACGACACCAAGCAUCAGCUUGCCGAGGCGCGCCGGGUUGCGGCGGUUACCGCCAGAGGCGGAAAGCAUCACCACCGAUACACUCCUCCCUGCGUGUGCAUUCUCAUGCCGUACAGACGCAAUUAAUACAUGAUGCACACAGAAAUAAAUCCACUCACAAGGCCAUUCGUUUCAAUUGCUUUUUAAUGUAAUUACGGCAUACGACGACAAGUAAAUAAAGGGUAAGAAUGUAAGGGUAAAGGAGCACGCAAUUUUGCCUUAUCAGCAGUCCAAGUCGUGCGAACACGACACGCACAUAAACAAUGUCCCACCCUGUCCGCACGCACUGUACAGCACAACCGGAAACCUGCACCCCCCAAAACGUGUCACGCCUCCUCUCCGCCUCCUCACCUUUCCAGCCACGGCGCCAUGACCCCCCCAAACACCAAGGCGCACUAAGCCAUACACAGCGCCUCCCCCCAGUGCCCCUAGCGGCUUACAAACGAUCAUAGAGGCCACUCCCCGUGCCCCGUGGCCAAGGGGCCCCCUGCACCUGAAGUGGCAUACUCACACCGGGCACACACACGCACGGCCAAAGCAACUAACAAUCAGUCAGAUACGUGCUCUCGACCCCACACGUAACGAACACAUCCUCCACCCCACAACCCAGUACUAAACAGCAGCUCCAAAACUGAGCGUGUCGCCUCCUGAAUGAGAUACCAAGUAGAGGAGGAGACGAGAGACACACCUGCACUGCUUCUUGGCCCCCCGGCCCUCAUCCGGACAGCCAACAUAUAGCACCCGAUUACCUAGGGAUGGGAUGCGGUGAGCUGUCACAGUGCUCUCUUCCUGAUGCCGCCCUGCCGGGUAGAGCUCUAAUUAGGAAGGGGCCCCCCUGAUUAGGGGCCCUGUAACCCCCUAUGGAUGCAGCGAGCACGUGCGUGCACCGUACCUGCAUUGUACAUGUCAGUAUCCACGUGUACACAUACACACCAACACAACACCCUGCGGGUCGUGACUCGUACAUCAGCAACUGCGCAUGUUGACGUCAGUCGCCUCUGCAGUCGAUAAAUCGAACAACCUCAGCGAAGGUUUCUGCCUGCAACACCAACGACGGCUAUGUAAGCUAUAUCACCCCUACCAUCAUCCCGCAGCGAAACCCCUGAGGAAGCUGUGUGCUUAGAAAUAUGUACUUAUGUAUGCAUGUAUGUAUGUCGCGCACGCCUUCAGUCCUAGAGACCAAGGGCACUCUUGGACAGCCGAACAUCUACUCGUCUGAACGCCGUGGGCCUUAUCGUUUCAUGUACGGCAUAUCAUUUUCUUGGGUCCGUGUGUCUGCGUCGCCUUGUGUAUGUGUGCACGCGGGUACCCGGGCGCCCCGGGGUUGCACUCCCGGAACGGCGCAAGGCCACCACACGGACCCCACAUGGGCCCGCAAGGAGGGGAGCAGGGGGGUGGGAGAGGGGGGGGGUUCCGAACCCCCCGGGGUAGCAGCGGCUGGACAGAUGGAUGGGAUAGAUGGCUGUACGGAUACACACGGCGGGACCUAGGACACUGACCGCCUGAUAGCCCUCCUGGUGGGCAAAGGGGGGUGUACGAUAUCACCUAGCACCACAACGUACCACAGCGCUACUUCAACACUCACUCUUACCGUCAGUCUUGCUGCAAACAACAGAAACGUCAACGACUCAUUGAAAGGCCUCUAAAGCCACCUCCUUGCCACCUGAAAGCCACCGUGACAUACACACACACAAAAAAAAUGCACAUACAUACGUACACACAUACAAAAGGCACUGAGAUACCAGGGCAUUAUCUUUGGACGCCCCGCUUCUCCGCUUCAGGGCCCCUCCGCCUCCUCUCCAUGCAUUGCAGCACGGUUUCUUCUCCCCUCCCCCCCCUCGCGGAGCCCCCCCCCUCCCCUCCGCCAAAACCCUCCCUGUCCGUCUCCCCGCGCCCACACCCCUCCGUCACCCCCGCACCCGCACCCGCACCCGCACCCCUCCCACCCAACACCCCGCUCUCCCGGGGAGCGGGGAUGAAGCGGCCCCCUUCAGGGCCACAGCCAGCAUAAAAAGACAACAAACUAAUCACAACACAGCACAACACGAGGUACGACACAGCGCGCAACAGGAAACGGGCCCCUCACCACCUGGCCGCGGUGGGGUGCAGCCGCAGCGGUGGUGUGUGGUGUGGUGGCUGCAGUCGGCGCAUCAAGCCGGUAUAAAGAGGCCGCGUCCGGCCGGGGGCUCCGGCCCUCCCAUCCGGCCCUCCUUUCCCCUCUCCCGUACCUCUCCCCCCUCUUGUACUCCUUUGUAAGGGGGCGGCUGGAGGGGAGGGUAAAGGAGAAGGUGCUAGAUCCCGCAGAAAACACCCACCCAGGCACGAGCACCGACACAUACCCACUCAUCCUACCCUUCCAGCUGUCCCCCGCAAUCCCUCCCCCCAUCCAACCAGGCAGCCCUCAGCCCACCGCCAAUACGCUCCAUUACUUCAAAUCAUGCCCACACGCAAUUACGGAGUGCGCUAAGGAGGCUAAGGAGGCUAAGGGGGCUGCUCAGAUAAUCACCAACCUUACCGCCCAGGGCGCCUUACCCCAGGCCACUGUCGCCAUAUCUCCCCCCACUCCCUCCCCCUCCAGCUCAGCUCUCCCUCCUCUACCUACACCCCCCACCCGACCCCACGAACCCUCGCCCACUUACCCUCGCCCAAGCAUUACCGAGCACUCACUGGCAUGCGGCACACCGUCACAAGCAUCACCUUUCCUUUCCACUGAGGACCCCCACCCCCGCCCACCACCACAUCCCACCACCACCACAUCCUCCACCCGCACCCCACCCCAAUCCCACCCCUACCCACUCUACCCGGGCCCCCCCCCUAACCCCGGCAGCCCUCAUGAGGUCGGCAACCGACUGGAGCUCGCAGUCACCUCCAGCGCCAGGUCCUGUUCCAAAGCCGUCUGGUGGAUGCUGUUCUUGCGACUCAGGGCGCUGGAGGGCCGACUGGCGGCCAGGCUGCCGCCCGCAGACGUGCCCGUGGUGGUGCGGAUCAGCCCCGUCAUGGUUCGCACCAGAGGGUACUCAUGAACAGAACUGGCAAUGGUGGCGGCCUUCUUCUUAGCGGCGGCACCGCCACCGCGGGUCAUGGACUUUGUGGGUGCCAGGUGGGGCCCCCCCGGCGAAGGCGGCGGACCCUCCUUCGUCCCCUCGAGUGCAUCGCGAACCUGACCGCGUCGAAGACCCGUCGGAGACAUCUUCGACGCGCGGGAGACGUAAGAUAAAAUGUACUCGCGUACGGCUUCGGAUAGGUACGGGUUGUCAAAGCGCUUGACGCGGAAUGACACGUCGAUAAUGGCGGAGAGGAAGCCCUCGUAGGUGAGCACGGGGGCGGCGGUGUUGAUGGCGUUGGGGUCGAGCUUGGCGUAGGCUCGGAAUACGGCCUCGCAGUCCCUCGGGUGCAGCAUCUUAUGUGGCUGUGUAACUGCCGACACGCGGCUGUUGGAGCGCGGGUCCGAGGUCUCCGUUUCUUUGCAGAAGAGCAUCCAUUGCUGGAAGGCCAGGCUGGGGGGCCAGUAGGCGGCGAAGUUGUUCUCGAGCUGCACGGGGGGCGCGGGGGGAAGUCGCGGGGAGUGGGGCGUGGGGGAGCCCGGUAGGGGCAGGAAGGGGCCGGGGAGGGCGGAGGCGGCCGAGGGGCUGCGGGCCCUCGAGGGGGAGAGAGCGCCGCGGCGGGGGACGAGGGCGUGUGCGGGGAUCUGGUUGACGUGGUGGUUGGGUAGGUGGUUGGUUGGUUGGUUGUUCGGUCGAUUGAUUGAUCAGUUGAUUAGUUCAUGGGUUGGUUAGGUUGUCGGUUGAUGGGUUGGAUUGUCGGUUGAGUUGUCGACAUAGUUGGUUAGCAUGGUUGGUUAAUGUGUUCGUUGGUUUGUUGGCAUGGUUGGUUGAUAAUUUGUUGGUUCAAUGGUAGCCAUGGUUUGUUGUCAGUUGAUCAGUUGGCAUGGUUGGUGUUAAGUGGCCAUUUAUUAGUUGACAGGGUUGGUUAAGUUGUCGAUAGUUGGUGUGGUUGGUUGACGGGUUAACGGAUCAGUUUGUUGGUGGAAGAGGGGAGGAGGAAGAGGUAUAGGAGUUGGGGAAAAGCGUUGUCGGGAUUUGGAAAAAAAUAAAAAAACGUUGUAGACCGUGUCGAUGGGGGAGGAGAUGGGGGCAAGGGGAGAGAGGUAGAUUUUCAUGAGAACGACGAAUCACUUCAAGAUCAAUAAAUUUACAAAGAAAUUCUGCACACACAAUCCAGAACGAAAAAUAUCGUACCAAAUAAGACAUACAUGCAUACAUACAUACAUACAUACAUACAUACAUACAUACAUACAUACAUACAUACAUACAUACAUACAUACAUACAUACAUACAUACAUACAUACAUACAUACAUACAUACAUACAUACAUACAUACAUACAUACAUACAUACAUACAUACAUACAUACAUACAUACAUACAUACAUACGUACCUGCGCGUAAUAUAAAAACACCGCUCGCAGGUCGCCAUGGUAAUGGUUGAGCACUUUCUGCACGGCAUACGAUUCGCCAAAGGGGUUGGUUUGCCCUACAAACAGCUUUUGCACCCUGUCGAGCACCUCCUGCAUCCCAGGCUCCAUCUCCCCCUCUCUCAGGGUGGUGGCGUAGCGCUCGGCGAUAUCGGAGAACUGCAGCAGCUGCCGCUUGAGGGCGGCUACAGCCGUGGUCUCCUCUCUGCAGGAUAGUCGGGUCGGGGAAGGGCAUGGGAUGGGAGACCGGGGAAAAGGGGAACAACACAGACAGACAAAACAGACACAGAAACCCUCUCCCUUUUCGACACCCAUUUCUUCUCUCCCCCCAACCACACACACACACACACGCAGACCCACUUGAGCCUCUCCGUGAGUCUCUGCACCUCGGCCUCCAGCUGCUCCGCCCUCCGCUUCACCGACACGUCCCGCUCGUGGCACUCCUUGAGGGCCGUCAUCACGGUGCCCCGCUCCCCGUCCAGAGUGGACUGCAGGGAGUGCGCCCGCACCUCCAGCUCGGUGAUGCGAGCCUCGGCCUCCGUGGCGCGCUGUGGGGGGGAGGGCGGGGGGGGCAAUGGGGGGCAGGGGGGCAGGGGGAAAGAGGUGACGCCUGGCCUCAGUUUGAGGGGCAAUGAUGGCUGGCUGGGAUGGCAGGGCAGAUAGAAUGAAUCACGUUAAGAAUAUGGAUCGAAGGCUAGGCAAUAUACAUACCUACCUACCUACCUACCUACCUACAUAAUAACAUACACAUACAUACAUACAUAUACAGCAUACGCAGCCUCACCUUGCGCUGCUCCUCGGCAUCUUGUCGUGCGCUGUUCAGAUCCUGUCUAGCCACCAACAGGGAGGACUGCAGCUCGGAUACACGGUGGUCAAAAGCAGCUACCAAGAGCUCCUUCUCGCGCUCCAAUUGCCGUACCUGAAAAGUACGAUAACGGUACGACAGGCAGCAGAAGCAAAAGAGCACGUGCUCCUUCACGUCCGCGGCGGCGGCGGCAACAGCGGCGGCAGCAGCGGGGCGCAAAGCAAUCGCGACCCCGGCAACCGGGUCCCCCGACCCGAGCUCCGUACCCCCCUCCGUACCCCCCCCCCGCACCAACCGCCCCGGAAGCGCAAGGAGCCAGGCAGCCCUCCCCGCACAGCCCCCCACAACCCCUUUCACGCAACCCGGGGCNNNNNNNNNNNNNNNNNNNNNNNNNNNNNNNNNNNNNNNNNNNNNNNNNNNNNNNNNNNNNNNNNNNNNNNNNNNNNNNNNNNNNNNNNNNNNNNNNNNNNNNNNNNNNNNNNNNNNNNNNNNNNNNNNCUUCUCCCCCUUCCUACACCCCCUACGCCCCUUCCCUCUGGAUUUGGGGAGGGACCGACGCAUGAAGCUAGGUAGAUGGGUAGGUAAGGGCCGGUAAGUAGGCGCAUUUCGGUCGUGCCGUAGUGCUGUUACUGUUUCAUGAUGCACCCAAGGGGCACUGCCCUCCUUGCCCUCAGCCUACUCGGCACUUCGUGACUUGUGCCAUACUGUCGUACCUUUGCCGCGCUGGCCUCCGCCAGCUGGUUUUGUAUCAACAGUUGAUCUCUAGCCGCCUCCAAAUCCCUGGUCAACUGCUGCAUCAUCAGGGGCGCACCACGAGCCCCAGCGUUGACGUGUCCCGUACCGCUGGAGCCGCCGCCGCCGCCGCCGCCGGCUGUCGUACCCGUGCCUGGCCGAGACCGCGCCGGCGACGCUGUACGGUUUGUACUCGCGCCGGAGCUCAAACCCCCGCCCGGCGGUGAUCCUGCGCGAUCUGGCACCAGGCCCGUAUUCGGAAUGAUCCCCGGUGUGGGCCCGGGCGCCAGGGAGGAGCUCCUGAGGGGGGAUGUGUUGGAGUUGCGGCCGAAGGCGACGGGGGAGGAGCCGGGACGUGCGGGCCGGGUGGCGGCGCUGCCGCCGCCACCGCGAUCAGCCAUAACGGAGGAUCCGCCCAGCGCGGAGCGGGCGGACUGAAUCCUGCCGCCGCCGCCGCCGCCACCGCCGCCGCCGCCAGCUGCGGCGGUAGCAGCGGCAGCGGCGCCCAGUGCCAGCUGGCCGCUGGCGCUAACAGAGUGUUGCGUGUGGUACGUGGCGCUGGACAUUGGCCGCCCACCCGCGCCUAACGGUUGCAACCCCCCCGAUGCCGUUCCAGCGGCGGAUCGUGCGGUGACGGCGCCGCUGCCUAACUGAUUUUCAUGCUGGUGGGAUGGCCAGGUGUUCGUAACGCUGACGCUGAGCCCGGCGGCGCGGCCGCCGCCAGGGAAGGCUGCCAGCGAUGACAUCGUACUGCCGGCGCCGACGCCGGGGACACCGGCGGGCCGGAUGAAUUCCGUCACCUGCGGUGUGGACGCGCCGCCGUUGCCGCCAGGGAAGGCGGACGAUGGUCUACUGCCAGGUACGAGCAUCAAUGUACGAUUAGGCGGCGGCAGCGUCAUCGCGAGGUUCGACGGAGGGGGCGCAUAAAUGGGGCUGCCGUUUGGAUGUGUUGCUAAGGGUGGGGGGGACGGCGGAGUGGCCCAAGCCACCGGCGCCAUCGUUUCAUCCCCUCCGUCGCCCAGCGGCGGUGGCGGUGGCGGCGGCGGCAACCGCGGUGACCGCGGCGACUGCGGCGUCGUUCCAUCUUCCAACUCCAAAGGUUCCCCAGUCAAGUUCGCGGCACCGAGGCUGCCGCCUCCGUUGCCGUACGCGUUCGUCGCCCAUUCCGUACGGAGUACGGACUGUAGAUAAAUCUUGCCGCAGCUGUCGCGAAUCCACUCAACCACAAUUCCCGACAAUGUCAACCGGUGAGCCUUCUCAAUGUACUUCACAAGGUGUGACGUCAGCUUUCGAAAUUCCAAUUUUAGCGUGGCGUCGACGGCGCCCUGGCCCGUGACGGGGUCUGGCGUCUCGUCCAACGCCGCAGCGCUGGCGCCGUACGCGAAGGACGAGUCGUUGACAAAGGCGUCGUCGGCACCCGGCGGCAGCGUGGAGCCCUGCGCCACGUACCUCCGACUGUACUUCCGCUGAAAGGUGUGACAGGUGAUGUUGUUGGCGCCAGAUGCGACAUACGUGGUGACGUACCGCAGGUCGUUGUGGGGCUGCUCCGGGGAAGGGGAGGGGGGGAAAGGGUAAAACACAUGACACACAUAUUGACACGCGAGAGGAUUCCGGCCCAGGCGGGCCCCCACCCCGCCUCCAUCUGCAGCAAGCAGUCCAAGACGUCGACAAGCUCGGGGAGUGGGGGGUUGUCCGCUGGUCGGCUGGUCAGCUGCAUCACCGCCGCUGUGUCAUCACCAUCACUCAGCUGCCAGGCCCCUUUCACGGCGGAACAGCUGACCGUCAUCAGGUACGGCCGGGCCCCCCCCCUCACCCCGACUUCAUGAAAUCCCCAGACAGCCUGCGGGUUUCCCCUCCUCUCCUCCUUCCUCUCCCCCCCCCAAGACAAGGAAGCCCGCUGGGCCAUAGGGCCGCCCGGCGGGGUAAGGGGGAGAGGGGCCUCAAUGGCAGGUCCCCGACUCCCGCCUUUCUUCGCCACAGCGCCCCGACAGGCCCAACUCCCUAGGUGUCCUUCCCCACCUCACACCGCUCUCCCUGGAGCCCCGGAGCCCCCCCACAGGCCCAUGCGGGUGGCGGGGAACCUGCAUUGAGAAGAGCCUUGAAACGCACCUUUCCCCCCCACUCACGCUGUCCCGCCACCUCCCCAUCCCGUCGCCGUCCGCCCGUUCAUGCACACAUACAUACGUACUACAUACAUACAUAUGUGCAUACAUACCUGCACAAACGCUUGCAGCACCUGCAGCGAGUCCACCUCCGGAGCUGCCGCCAGGUUGCCCGCCUCCAGCCGGUCGGAUAACAUUUCCGUCAGCUGGUUGAAGGCCUGCAGCCGCAGCAGCUGGGGAUGGCCGUCACCUGGCGGGCGAGGGAGGGGAGGAGGGGGAGGUGAAGGGACUGAAAAUUGGACUUCUGUUGGGAGGGUGUAUUGGCACGUCGGAGUGAGAGUCACGCCGAGACCUGCGGUGGGCUGUGGGAGGCCGGUGGUGGUGGGGGAAGGGGGGAGGUGAAGGGACAAUUGCGCCCGGACAGGACGGGAGGGUGGGGGCUGAAGGAGUUGAGGGUAAAGGCUUACAGCGGCACAGCAAUCACUUAGACGAGGGGAGUGGGUUGGCAACGUGAAAAGGGAGAAAAGGGGAGCGGGUUCAGCGCGGGUUCUGCUAGGGAAGGGAAAGGUCUGGGGCUAUGUGUCUGGGUGUAUCGCAGCAUAAAAACUUUUGGUAGAGUUCAAAAGACACUGUACAAGGUGAUGAACCCCUCUGGACAUAUUGUAAAAGGAUUUGAGCUGUUUAGGGAGGGGCAGGCGUGACCUGGCGGGGUUGCCCGUAAAACCGAAUUGCCAUGCGCCAUGCGGCGAGCCGCGGUCUGAAACGACAAGUUCCCCUACCUGCCCGUACAACAACAACAUAUUUACUGUAGUUUGCCUCGUCGCACUCAGCGACCUGAAUAAAGCGUCUCCGAAUCGCCUCCAUCGUCGUGUUAUGGCUCGCGUGCCGUUGGAUAUAGCCCUCCUGCCCGAUAUGCCCAACCAAGAAAUAAUAUAGUGAUUACGAGAGGAAGAGAGGCUUUGGCAGUCGAAUUACCGCUCAGUAACAGUGCCAGUAUCCCCGCGUUGCUUACCUUGUUCGUUGCCCACCAAGCCGAUAGCUGCCCAUAUCGAAAAAGCACUGUGUCCGGAACGUUUAUCUUACAUUUCAGUCCCUUAUCCUGCGCGAGCAGCGCCGACGAACUUGUAGUGAGCAUCGGACAACGCUUUUCAGGCUGCUCUGCUCUCCUUGAGACGUACAUUCCAAAACAGCGCAAAGAAGGAGCACCAAUCAAAGUUCGUGUCCAUCGCCAUUAUGUUGCGGUAACUAAAACAUGCCUACAAAGCGCGUCGAAGGCGAACAGAAAGGACAGGGCCUUCGAAAAAGCUAUUACGCUAAGCCUAAACCGUUCCGAUGGCAUAAAUUACUUCGAAUCCAAAGCAGCGGGCUUUCCACCUGGCAGUGUGAGCAUGAAUCCAUCUGCUCCACUUCGAGGAACACGGACAGUAGUACACGCGGUACGGCAAGCUUGAUUUCCAUUCCAUAAAGCUAGGACUUCAGGGUUUCUCACUUGAAAUAAUUGCGCGACCUGUGCGUUCCAUGGGAAUGGCUUUCGGAUACGAUAAACCAUAGCACCAAGCAAAAUAGCUGGCGAGCGAAGGACAAGCCUCGCUAUCCGUCCGCAAAACGUUUCUGAUUGAGUAUUAAGCAAUGUUCAUUCAAACCGAAAGAUGCUCGUUUCGUCAGGCACAUGCAAUGCUUCCGGUGGCCUGGCGUGUAGCACCCGCGAAUACACAGCCAUUUUCCCCUCCGCAAGCUGCCUAAAGCAUCCGUACGUGCAGUUGGCAACAUGGUUCUCGGGUACCGCAGAAAUACCAUGUAACGGAACUAGUGGACAAUUGGAGAGCGAAAAGCAUAUGCUUCUGCAAUGUCAAAACACCCGACGCAUUGCCCUUCGUGGCGCGACUGGCUUAAGUCAGCACGGGAAUCUGAGGGAGGUAGUUCCGGGCCCAUGGAGCGGAACCUCGUCCAGGUUGCUGAAAUGAUGUUGAUGGCUUGCAUGCUGCCCCACUGUAUCUCAAUCACCCCUUUAAUGACCCUGGCUCCCUUAGUACGCCAAUAAUCGGGGGCCGGGAGGGAACCGCCCGCUCAGGUGCCACCUAAAUCUCUCCGAGCAGCCGCUUGAGCGUCUCCUCCUCUGGGCACAUCACAUUUGGAUCUAAAGGAGGACUUCACAGACACAUAUAGCAUUAUGGUUCUCCCACAGAUACAUUUGCAGGUGCAAGCACGACUAUGGCUACAGCUCUACUUACGAUCAGAAAUGCAGGCAGAGAUAAAAAAACUACCGUAAAACCACACCGCAUUUGUAUACAUGGCUAACAGCUUUAAACCUCGGUUUGGCUCGGCGGCCAGCCUACUAUAUCCUCAUUACAUCGCUGGUCGGGUUCUGAACGACAUCCACUUGUCGCACAUAAAUUGUGAGUUCCUAAAAAACGCCCACGCGCUUCAGCAAAUAUAUUUAAGCCAACAAAAGUGUUCUAAAAGUCUUUUGGAGAUUGCUGGGUGCGGGCGGUGAGGGUGCGCUGUUCCGUAUCCUUUUCAAUCUCUACGUACCCAACGCAAUCAUCCGCAAACACGCGAAGCAUGUCGUGGUGUCGCAAAGAAUCAUGAAACCUUAGAUACAGUAAACGCUGUGCGAAUUUACAAAGUGAUCACUGGCCAGCUUAAAUUUAGCCAAUAUCACAUAUCUAAGGCUGCCGUACAUGGCCGCUUGGUCUUGCAACAUUUGCGCGCCGGCUCAUCCGUAAUUCAUUCGUAGGCAUGCAGAGCUCAUAUAUCUGUAUAUGAUUGCUGUUGCAUUGUACGAAUCUCACGCGGCGCCUGUCCUUAGUGCCUAGUUACCCUGCCGGUAACGCUGACAAGAGUACUUGCGCCCGAGGCUUUUGCCUUCAUUUAGACUUAUAAGGGAGAUAUUUCACAUAACUGGCCUGCUUAAUAUGGAACGUAAUAAACCUAAGGCAUAGACAAUCGAAUACCGGCACAACAGUGCCUGACCAGCAAGCUCGCGAUUAAACUUCUCUGUUAACUUGCAUUUUGAUCUCAUUCUUAAACACAUUUGGUCAUGGGUGGAGCAGGUUCCACGGUACGCGACAGGGUAGCUCCGUCGGCAGGUGGUAUGACCUGUCCAUACUUUAAUGAUUAAUGUCCCCUAUGCAACAGGAGGCAGGCAAUGUCGUGCGCGUUCAGCCUACACCUCGUAACCAGGUGGUGAGUCCGUCUCUGCUCUCGCUCGCACUUGCCUGCCAUGCAUGACCUAUGCCAUAGAUGCCAUACCUGGAAACCUAAUCCAGACUUAGGUUUUUUCAUAUAUUGUCUACCUCAUUUUCUCCGUGGCGUACCUGCUGCACUGCUCUUUUGGACAUAACUUUCUGCUGGCAUGCGUCGUAAAUGUCGCCGCGGCAGGUGCCCACCAUGGAAGCUUCUCAGCCCACGCAGCCCAUGGAAGACUCGGCUAGCUUAAGACUACAACUGAAACAGGAGAGAGAGGAGCAUGCGAAGGCCUUGGAGGAGGCAGUGGCAGCGGACCGCAAACGGCUGGACGAGGCUGCAGCGGUGGAGCGGCGGCGAUUAGACACAGAUGCGGCUGCUGAGCGGAGCCGCCUGGAUGAAGAGGCAGCUUCACUUCGGGCUCGCUUGGAUGGAGAGGCCGCGGCAGAGCGGCGGCGGAUGGCAGAAGCGGCCGCGGAGGAGGCGGGGGCAGUUCGAAAGCGCCUGGACGAGGACGCUGCCGCGGCGAGGGCGCAGUUGGAUGAGGAGGCGGCAGCGGAUCGGAAACGCAAAGACGAGGAGGCGGCGGCGGAGCGCAAGCAGCUUGACGAGGCGGCUGCCAUGGUACGGAAGCAGCUCGAUGAUGAGGCGGCAGCGGAGCGCACGCGGCUAGAUGCAGAGGCCGUGGCUCGGAGGACGCAGCUUGACGAGGCGGCAGCAGAGGAGCGGCGGCGUCUGGAUGAGCGGGCCACAGCGGAGCGGCGGCAUCUGAACGACCUGGUAGGUGUGCUGCAGCCUCAGCUGGAGAACCUGAUGGCCCGGCUGGCGGCUGGAGGCCCGUCUGCUAGGGCGGCGCUUGCCGCUACAGCGCCCCAGAGCACUGGCAUGUUGAUCGGGCCAGUGCAGCCGUCUGCAGCAGCGGGUGCGGCUGCGGCUGCGGGGUUAUCGCCAGUGGCGUCCAUGCCGGCACCACUGCCAGCGGCGGCCGUGCUUGCUGAUAAUCUGGCGGAAAUGGGACCUCAGGCCACUACAGCUGCUGCUGCUGCUGCUACUGCUACUACUACCGUGUCGGACAAAGUGGCGGCGGCGGCGGCAGCGGCAAUGGAACAGGAGCAGCGGCAGCUUGAGGAGCAGGAGCGACGGCGGCUUCGGGAGGCAGAGGCUGUGAUGUUCGAGGCGCGGCGCCAGGCAGAUGAGGAGAUUGAGAAGAACUGGGGCCAGGAGGUGUGGUGGGAGGGUAUGGAGAGGUGUGGGAAUUUGGGUGCGGGGGAGCGCUAAGCGGCCAAAUAUCUGCUCCCUUUCCCCCUAGGCUAGGCCCAGCCCUGGAUCUUUUUCCGAAGGUUCAAACUUGUGUGUUUAUAAUACAUCUGAAUCCUUAGCAGGGCAGAGCAAACCGUUUCUGCAGCAUCCUGUAAGAAUUAAAGCUCAUUCCUUCCCACCCUUCUCCUUCCCCCUCUCCUUAUCCUCAUGCGCCUCCUCCCUCCUCGCCCCCAAGGACCUUCUGGCCUCCAUCCCCUCCACGGGUAUGCAACUGGAGCAGCUCCCCGCCAGCAUCCUCGACCUCCACGACGGAAUGCCCCCCCAACUCAGCAAGGCCCCCAUGCGGCUGCUCUCCCUGGACGUUGUCCUGACCUGGCCCAACAUCCGCGUCUACGAGGAAGUCGACGUCGCCACGGAAGCCCUGGAGGUGCCGUACGCUGACGUCGACGCCGACACCUGGAACACUACCAUCAUCCUCAGCUGGCGCUGGAGCGCCGUCAAACCCACCGAGUACACCCCGGGCUUUGCGCCCAUGUCCGAGGCGCAAUUCGCGGAGCUGACUGCCGCACUGCGCCGUGCACAGGACGGGGGCAUGCGGUAUGUGUGGAUAGACUGGAGCUGCGUGCCCCAGUACAAGUCCUCUCCCAUGGUGGAGGUGCUGCGCUCCAAGGUGUUUUACGCGCGCGCGCGUGCCAUGAUCGUAUUGCCGACGUUCGUUCGCAUCCCAGCCGACGGCGUGGUGCGGUUGCUGCUGACCAAAGCCAUGCGCGUCGUACGCAGCCGCGUCAUGACCUCGCCGCGAUGGGGCAUCCUGCUGAAGUUGCUGGAAAGCAUCCAGGCCAAGGAGACUGUCGCGGGUCGGGAGUACUUCACCCGUGUGUGGACGUUGGCGGAGCGCAUGGCGCGGUUUGGGCGGCCCGAGAGGUUGUGUCACUGGCUGUCGCUUGAGAGUUGGCUGGGCAUGGUGGUAGAUGCGAUGUUGCGGAGCACUGAGGACCGCAGUGCGAGUGAGAUGUACAAAAGGAUGUUGGGCGCCGAGGCGGGCCGGCGGCUGGAUGCGUUGCUAGACCCGCUGGAGGCCGCUGUCAAGACUGGCAGCAUGCACGUCUCAGAGGGGCUGGAGGAGCAACUGGCAGAGCUGUUCAAUUUGACGGUGGGAAUCUGGCACACUAACAAGGUAGGAGGGCAUUAGGGGA